UUGUGGGAGAAUGAUCUCCUUUUAUAGAAGAGUUUCUAGCGUUGUUCUGACAUUGACACGUGUCGUGUUGUGAUUGGCUUCUGAUGUUGACACGUGUCGCGCUGCGAUUGGCUUAUAAUGUUGACACGUGUCACAUUGUGAUUGGCCUCCUGAUUGGAGGGGAAACUCUUCUGGGUCCUUGACGGUAUAACGUUGACCGGUGCUCAGUAGUUUCGGGAUUGGUUAAGUAUGGUAUAAAUAGUACUCCCCUAAGUUCCUGAGUGAGGGAAGCUCCUUGGUUGGGGACUUCCAAGAUCCAAGCCAUUUGAGUAAUCAUGAAACUUCUAAGUACCGAAGUGUGAUAUCAUUUUCACUUGCCUUAUCUGUCUCAUAUGUAGAUGUGGCAUCUUCUCUGGAAGUACUUUUCCUCCAUCUAGGGGUGGUAUCUUUAACCGAUGAAGAUGCACAAGGUAAUGUAUCAAUUUCACUUGAAGCUUACUUGUAGUUUCAGGCUUGGUCAAGUGCGAUACAAACCCUAUAGUAGGAGUCCCAAGUCGCCUAGCUAGGAGAUUUGCCGAAUGAGGUAACAGACAAGGUAAGCAAUCAGACUUCCAAGCAAGCAACCUGGAUCGGAGGUUCGACUUCAACUUCUGGUUGAUUGUUCUCCUUCUCCUUGUGUUGUAAACAGCAACAAGGAUAAGGAGAAGCAAAUGGAAAAGAGAUGAUAUGAGAUACUUUUGCUUUUAAAGAAGUAACUUUCCACAGGCUUAUUCUUGAACUGGGCUAGAGGGUUUUCUGGUUUCCUCCAGAGUAUAAGGCCGACUCAAGAAUUUGAGGGUCAAAACAAGUCCAUCAAAUUUAGAGUACAUUCCACCUUAAUGAUAUGGGAUACUUUUGCUGUCGAUAAAGUAGUGGGUGUGGUAUGGCGAGGCUUUGCUCUUUGGCGAUGGUGUCAGCGAAAAGUUGUUGAAGCUUCUCGAGUUAUUCGGAUAGGGCAUCGAUGCUGGGUUUGAAUUUGAUUUAGAUUCCUCUGUCUGUGUUGUGUGGUUCUGUAGGAAGGGCAUCGUGAUGUAGUGAUCUGUUCCAGCUCAUCAUUGAUCUUUCUGCUUCAAUCUCUUACAGCAUUUGUCCCCGAUGUAGAAGUGGAAUGCAACCUUUGCAUUUAAAUGGUCAUUCAGAGCACUACUUCGCAACGACUCAUCCAUGCGUGGCAGCUUCAGUGUAAAGCGUCAAUAUCGUAUCAACUGUUAUGAGGUAUUUGCAGAAGGACUUCGUGACCUUGACAACAGUUGAGGAUGAGUAAUUGAGAGCAAUGUUAGGCAAACAACCAUGCAAAGAUUUCGGGCAAUCAGUUCCAGAUCAAAAGUUUGAUUUCAGGUUCCGACUGAUUGCGUUUUUUCUCUUUGUCCUGCAGGUAAAAGCAAGGGCAAAGGAAAAGACAAGGAAAAAACAUGAUAUGGGAUACUUUUUGCUUUUAACCCUGAUGAUACGAGAUUCUCUUGCUCUGGUGUGGCUUGUUUGCAAAGGUAUUAUCGGGGGGAAAAAAAACUGAGUAUUUCGAGAGACUUUGCUGAGAGUGCCUUCUCGGAUGUGAAGAGAAGUUAAGCAUUUUUUAUUAUUUGCAGGUCUGCUUGGCUGUGAAGGAUGACGGUCGACAUAUAUAAGAAUUGUCCCAACAGCGAAUGGUAACGCUUUUCCUUUACCCUUCUUAGUCAUAGCAAUGUAGUGGGAGCUACAAGAUUCACGUGUUUUAACUUUGUCAGAGCACUUUGAAAAAGUGGUAUGUGGUAUCUGGAAAGCUAAUGUUGCGUGUGAAGAUUGCGGACAAGCUUUAUCCCAGGAAAUCUGGCUCUCGAAGUUCGGAGAGCGGUGCCUCUUCAAUUUUUGAGAAAGCAAUCCUGGUAGGAGUCUGGCUCUCGAGAUUCGGAAGCGGUGCCUCUUCGAUUUUUGAGAAAGUAAUCCUGGUGAGAGUCUGGCUCUCGAGAUUCAGGGAGCGGUGCCUCUUCGAUUUUUGAGAAAGUAAUCCUGUUGGGAGUGUUUUCUCGAUGUGAAUAAAGAUUGGGCAUUUUUGCCAGCCUGCCUUGCCACGGAGCACGGAGGUUGACACACAUAGGGACUGUCCAAUUAUCAAGCAGUGGUGUUGUUCCUUUACCCUUGUGGGUAAUAGUAGGGUAGCUGGACCUUCAAAAUUUAUGUGUCUAAACUUUGUCAAAGAUCUUUAGCAAAGUUAUCUGUGGUACCCGAGAAGCUGAUAUUGUAUGUGGAUAGUGGUGCGUCUUCGAUUUUUGAACUAACGACCAUGUUGCCCUUUCUUUAUAAGGGCACUAAUUGUGUGCAAGAAGUACAUUUAGAGAGUUAUUGCUUGUAGGAGUUUUCCCCUUAUUUUUGUACUUCAGAGAUUUAUUGGACCUUAUUUCUCCUUCAUUAUUUCUGAAAAUGUCUGGCCCAUCCGACCGUCGUUUUGACUUGAACUUUGGUGAAGAGGCAGUUAUGUCUCUUCAAGACAACAUAUGGCACCCAUCAUUCUUAUCCCCUAUUGGUCCUCUUACCGUUGGGGACUCUAUGAUGAAGAAUGAUAUGACUGCUGCAGUGGUGGCCAUGAACCUUCUCACUCCCAAAGAUAACAGACUACUUUCCAAACGGUCUGAUGAGUUGGUUGUUAAGGAUUCUCUGGCUUUCAGUGUUCAGUGUGCAGGUUCUGUGUCUACUAUGGUCUAACGCCUAUUUGCUCGAACCCGCCAAGUUGAAUCAUUGGCGGCUGAAGUGAUAAGUCUCAAACAAGAGAUUAGAGGGCUCAAGCAUGAGAAUAAACAGUUGCAUAGCCUCGCACAUAACUAUGCUACAAAUAUGAAGAUGAAGCUUGACUAGUUGCAGGAAUCUGAUGGUCAGAUUUUACUUGAUCAUCAGAGGUUUGUGGGUUUGUUCCAAAGGCAUUUAUUGCCUUCGUCUUAUGGGGCUGUACUGCGUACUGAAGCUCCAAAUGAUCAACCUUCGGUCUCUCCUCCUUCUGGGGUUCUGCCCAGUACUGAGGCUCUGAAUGAUCACCCUCCGGUGCCUCCUCUUUCUAGGGCUCUGCCGACUGUUGAGACUUCUCCUGAGCAACCUUUGUGAAUGCUCCCUCUUGUUUGUUUAUUUUGAUUCAUGUAUAUGUACAUAUUUGUAACUUAUCGGAGAUAUCAAUAAAUAAGUUUUGCUUCAUUUCAACGUAUUGUGUUAAAUAUACCAAGGCAUUCUUCACUAAGUUCUUUAAUUUUUUUUCUUUUGUUAAAGCUUGUAUGUUGAAGCUUUGUGAGUGAAGCAUGUAUGUUGAGGUAGUACUCCCUUAAUUUCCCGAGUGAGGAAAACUUCUCGAUUGGAGACUUGAAAAAUCCAAGUCACUGAAUGGUCGUGAGACUUCCAAGUAUCAAGGUGUAGUAGCAUAUGGUAUGGUAGGAGUCCCCCAAGUCUCUGGUCGAAGGAGUUGACGAAUGAGGCAUUUCCUUUCUAAGUGGUAGCCUAAAACUCCUCAUUCAUAUAUUUGUUAUGAAAGUUGUUAGGCCUAAAGAAGAGGAGGCCUAGGCAAUUUUUUUUUCGAAUUUAUUUUAUUUUAUUUCUUUUCUAAUUUUCAAAUUUUCGGAUUUUCGAAUUUCCGAAAAUAUAUAUAUAUAUAUAUAUAAAGCUUUGGUGUUGAAGCUUUGAGGUUGAAGUUUUGUUGGGUACCAUGAAUUGAUUUUGCUUCACACUAUCUUAUAGUGUGAAGCUUUUGAGAAUUUGUAGUUAUCGUCCAUUGAUGAAGCUUUGUUGAAUUUCCCAAUUUUUUUUUUUUGGGAAAACUAGAAAUUUGUUGAAUUUCCCAAUUUCCUUUUUUUUUUUUUUGGGAAACUAGAAAUUUGAAAAUGUGGGAGAGACAACAUAUAAAAUUUUGCUUCCACACUGUUGAGUAAGAGAUUGUGAUGCAAGCCACACCUUGUAGUAGUCGAAGGUUUGGAUGAACCAUAUAAAUUGAAUUUGCUUCAAACAGUCUUGAUCAAGAGUGUGUGAAGCUUUCUACGAGUUGUAGUUGCCCUUCAUUGAUGAAGCUUUUGUUGGCACCAUAAAUUGGUUUUACUUCACACUGUCUUGAUCAAGAGUGUGUGAAGUUUUUGAGAAUUGUGGUUGAACUCCUUUGAUGAAGCUCUUGUUGGCACCAUAAAUUGGUUUUGCUUCACACUGUCUUGAUCAAGAGUGUGUGAAGUUUUUGAGAAUUGUGGUUGCCCUCCAUUGAUGAAGCUCUUGUUGGCACCAUAAAUUGGUUUUGCUUCACACUGUCUUGAUAAAGAGUGUGUGUGAAGCUUUUGAGAAUUGUGGUUGAACUCCUUUGAUGAAGCUCUUGUUGGCACCAUAAAUUGGUUUUGCUUCACAUUGUCUUGAUCAAGAGUGUGUGAAGCUUUUGAGAAUUGUGGUUGCCCUCCAUUGAUGAAGCUCUUGUUGGCACCAUAAAUUGGUUUUGCUUCACACUGUCUUGAUCAAUAGUGUGUGAAGCUUUUGAGAAUUGUGGUUAAACUCCUUUGAUGAAGCUCUUGUUGGCACCAUAAAUUUGUUUUGCUUUACACUGUCUUGAUUAAGAGUGUGUGAAGCUUUCUACGAGUUGUAGUGUUUGCAUUGUUACAGAUGAGAAAUGUCUAAAGCAGAAGCAAGAGGGUUGAAUAGUUUGAUCUUCGUAUGUCAUGCACUGAAGUUGUUGUUGGCUUGCUAUAAGACUUUGUUGGUGACUAUAACUCUUGUUGGGCAUAAGUGCUCCCCUAGUUGAGUUGUCAAGCUUGAAGGUUUUUUAUUAUUUGUGAAUGCUAGGAGUUCACAUGUACAAGUUGUACCACUCGUCUUCUGAUAGGUGGAAUGAAUGGUGAGUUGCUUUCAUCACUUGGUUGGUGGUACGAAAGUGAGUUCCUUCAUCACAUUUCAUCACCUGGUUGGUGGCACGAAGAUGAGUUCCUUCUUCACCUGGUUGGUGACAUGAAUGACAAGUUACCAAAUGAUAUUAGAGUACGGGUUGUACAUUUCAUCACCUGGUUGGUGGCAUGAAGGAGAGUAUGGGUUGUACAUUUCAUCACCUGGUUAGUGGCAUGAAGAUAAGUUCCUUCUUCACCUGAUUAGUGGCAUGAGUGGCAAGUUGUCAAAUGAUGUUAGAGUACGGGUUGUACAUUUCAUCACCUGGUUGGUGGUAUGAAGGAGAGUACGGGUUGUACAUUUCAGCACCUGGUUGGCGGCAUGAAGAUGAGUUCAUUCUUCACAUUUCAUCACCUGGUUGGUGAGAAUAAGGGCAAGGUGUCGAGGCACAUUGUAGCAAGUGUCGAAUGACACAAAGUAUGUUGAACCCUUUCGAAGCACAGUUGGCUUAUGUAUGAAUGUAUUAGAAUGUAUGAUUGAACGAAUAUACUGUGAAACUGUUUGUUUAUUUGUAUAGUCUUGUUAACAUAGACUUUGUUUCAUGUUGGAAGCAUUCAUGUUGAAGCUUUGAACCCGAGUGUUUCAUUGCUAGGAAUGUAAGAGGAUUAGGACCGAGUUGUCUAAAUCACAUCUUUAUUGAAUUCAUGCCAAAUAGUCUUUGUUACAUAGGAUGCCGAACGGUUGAAGCUUAACAUUUGUACAAUGUGAGUUUACUUGUAAUAGUACUUCAAGUGAUCAGCGUUCCAUGGAUGGCCAAGGGUCUUGCCAUCGGAGCUUCUAAGCUUGUAGGAGCUAGGGCGACUGAUGCCAAAAACUUCAAACGGUAUAUCCCAGUUUGGACUAAGUGUUCCUUCACUCGGGACUCUGUCGCAGAGUAAUCUUUUCUUUAAUACCCAGUCCCCCACUUUGAAAGAAUGAGGUUUGACCCUUGAGUCAUAGUAGUUGGAGAUGCGCUGCUUGUAAGCGACAUUCCUCAAGUGAGCCUGGUUUAUGUGUUUCUCGACUAGAUCUAAGUUGAGGGUAAGUUGUUAGCCAUUUUCGCUUUGCACGUAGUUUUGGACUCGGAACGUUAUUUACUCAAGCUUAACUGGGACAACUACCUAUGUACCAAAGGCAAGUGAGAAUGGGGUUUCUCCUGUUGAUGUCCGAUACGAAGUGCGGUAUGACCAAAGAACUUGGGGUACAAAUUCUGGCCAACAAACUUUAGCCUUGUCCAAGCUUGUUUUCAAAGUUCGCUUGAUUAUUUUGUUGAUGGUUUCAACUUGUCCAUUAAACUGGGGAUGAGCUGAAGAGGCAAAACAUAAGUUGAUGUUGAACUUAGAGCAGAACUUCCUAAACUUAUUGUUGUCGAACUGUCGCCCGUUGUCAGUGACUAUCACAUUGGGAAUGCCGAAUCUAUAAAGGAUGUUCUUCCAUACGAAGUCUUCUAUUUUUGCCUCAGUAAGGGUUGCCAAGGGUUCUACUUCAGCCUACUUUGUGAAGUAGUCAACUGCAACGAUUGCAUAGCGGGCCUUACCCUUCCCUGCAAGCAUUGGGCCAAUCAAAUCAAGUCCCUAUUGGGCGAAGGGCCAAGGGCUAAUCAUAGGAUUCAAGAGUUCACACCCUGCCGUAGAGUCUAUAAGUCUGUCUAUGAGAGGAAGAGGAAAGCUAUCAUUCAGGCAUCCUUUGUUUAGGUCGGUGCUAUCAUUCGGGCAUCCUUUAUUUAGGUCGAUGUAAUCGACACACAUUCUCCAUAAGACCUUUUGGAGCAGGAGACUUUCCUUGGUCGGAUUCUUCUUAACAAGGACAACAUUUGCUACCCACGUUGGAUAAUUGACUUCGCGGACGAAGCCUAUGCCUUUGAGUUUUUCAACUUCUGCUUUCAUUGCCUCGUACCGUUCAGCGUCAUAAGAUCUUCGCUUCUGUCUCACUGGCUUGGUCUUGGGGUCAAUACUUAAGCGAUGACAGAUGAUAUCGGGCGAGAUGCCUGGCAUGUCCUCGUAUGACUAGGCGAAAACCUCAGUGUUCUCUUGCAAAAAAAAAAAAAUCAAUGCCAACUGAAUAGGUGGUGACAAGGUGGUGCCAUUAUUCACCAUGCGAUCUGGAUAAUCUUUUGAGAUAGAAACCUUCUCCAGCUCUUCAGCGGGUUGUGCUUGCUGGGUGAAAGAGUCAUCUCGAGGAUCGUCGGGUUGACUGUUGCCACCAUGAAGAUCAAAGUUGGCUUCGUCUAGGCUAGUCUUUAUGACUUGGUCAUAUAUAGAAAAGGUUUCCUUGGGCACAUGCAGGUAUUGUUGCUUGACUGAAGUGUUGUAACAUGACCGUGCACUAAGUUGAUCUCCUCUGAUGUAACUAUUGCCAUAGGGGGUUGGAAAUUUCAACAACAACAUUUGUGUGGAUACCAUGACCUUGAGAUCAUUGAUGCCUGUGCGUCCAAAGAUGACAUUGUAUGUCGUUGGGCAAUCAACCACCAGGAAGUUAGUGGUAAUGGUAGCUAUAUAAGGGCAUGUACCAAUGGUGAAAGGUAAGUGUAUGCUCCCUAAAGGUUGCACGAUAUCACCGGAUAAGCUUAUCAGAAGAGAAAUCGAGCGAUCGAGCAAGUGUUCAGCUAUAUUAAGUGCCCUGAAAGCUUCAGCAAACAUGAUAUUGACCGAAGCCCCCGUGUUUACCAGGAUUCGUCGUACUUCAAAGUUGGCUAUGUGAGCCUCCAUGAUCAAUGGGUCAUUGUGAGGGUAGAUGAUACCUCUUUCUUCUUCAAGGUAGAAACGUAUUGGAUCCUAGUUAGGCUUUUGAUACUUGCCUCCCCUGAUGUCUUCCACGUGAAACACUUGGUGGCCAGGCAUUAAAGCUCGUUCGUUGUUUUUCAUGGCCCUAUUGGAAGAUUCAGAUAUGGGUGUGCCGUCGCUAUUGGAAUAUAUCACAUUUACUUGGCGUUGGUUACGGUUAUCCCUUGAAGGGUGAAGAAAGAAUCGAUCAAUAUUUCCUUCACGCGCUAAAGGUUCAAUAUGAUCACGAAGGGUGAUACACUUCUCGCCGUCAUGGCUGUUAUACUCGUGAUAGGAGCAAAACGUCCCCGUGUUCUUCGUGGGCUUGUAACCUGACUACCUCGGCAUUGGCUUCGGUAUCCGGUAUGCUAUGCUAGGGUAAAUGGUCACGCAUGUGGUGUUCAAAGGUGUGUAUGUCUCAUACCUUGGGGUAGGGCAUGUCCUGAUACGUGCUUGGCCCACUGUGUUGACUACCUGGGGGUGGGCAUUAUCGUGGCGAUACCCUUAGUUAUCGCGAUAGUGUCCUUUACUCCUUUUACUCAAAUGAGACUGGUGAGGAUGAAAAUCUUUCUUUUUUCCCUGAGGUUGAUAUGUCUGUUGACUUGUCAAAGUAUUAAGUAAGGUAGAGGGAGGCACGGCUACCGUUUGGAAGGUCAAUGUCUUCUCAUUUGGUUGGAUCUAGCUUCCACUCCCUACUUGUUGAUAAGGGGUGGCUGUGGGAGGUUUCCCUUGAUAUGUCAUUGCCUCGGCGGAGGCAUGGUUGUAAGCCUGUGCCAUCACCUCAGAGUAAGUCUUCUAAGUGUUGGCAUUGAUCAUGUACUUGAAGAAACAAUCACGUAGGUUUGCCGUGAAGGCUUUGAGGGUAGUCUUGUCGUCUGCCUCGGCACAACAGGAAUACUCAUGGCUGAAGCGGUCAACAUACAUAUGUAAUGACUCGUCUAGCUUCUGGCGAAUAAUGUACAAGUCAUCCGCAGAAUGCAAGCGAUCGGUCUGGAAAAUGUGUUGAGAAACAAAUAGUUUCCUCAAUUCCUUAAAUAAGUCUACCGUCUCAGGUGGAAGAUGGCAAUACCAGUUUAGAGCUCCGUCAGAGAGGGUGGAUGGGAAGAGAAAACAUCGCUCUUCGUCGGUGUGCAUCUGUAUGCCAUAGUGGACUCAAAAAGGUUAAGGUGUUCAAUCGGGUCCUCAUUUCCAGUAUAGAGUUGCAAGCCAUGCUUCUGCUUUGUCUUUGCUUGGAAGGGGUGUCAAAGAUCUUCAUUGUAAGAGGGCCAGGCCUAGGUUGGUUCCAAUCAGGUAUCUCAGCUUGUCGUUCGGCCUUCAACUUGUUUACUUCCUUAAUGAGCUGUAGGACAAGAGGGUCCUGAGUGGCGUCAUGUACCACUGGAGCUUUCUUUCGUAAAUCUCCAUCUCCUCUUGGAAGUAGGAAGGUUUGAUCAAGAUCGUGUGAUUUUUCCCUAGACUCACCGUACUAACUUCCAAGGUAUGUCUAUCAGAACAUCUCUGAGUCCCCUAUACCUUCGUGUUUCUCUAGGACUUGUUGCCCCUUCCCCAAAUUGGUAGCCGGCCUGGGACAUGGAAGGGGACUGAGUCUUUCAGAGACCGUUGGGUCAUUGAUCUUCGAGCUUACCUGGAUGUGAUUGUCUCGACGUUGCUUUAGGAAGUCCCGACAGUUGUGAAAAACGGCUUUCGAUCCUUCAACUUCUUUUGUAAGGAAGUGUCUUCCUCAACUCCUCAUACUUCAGGUCGAAGCAGCUGGGUUAAGAGAAGUCUCAUGUUAGUCGCCAUUUCGAUGAGUAGCUCGUUCCUCAAUAGGAAUACCCAUGUCGAGGGCAAAUGACCCUCCGUGUUAGGGGCUCCCAGUUGAUGGUUGACUUCCACAUGGGUGAUGAGCUCGUGUGUUUUAGUAUAUCUAGCCUCGUGGAGCAUCUCGAAGACCUUCUUAUACUGCUCUUGGAGUAUCUCAUUCGUCAUCGCUAUCUUGUUGUUCUGAGCCUCCAGCUCAUCGACUUUAGCCUGAAGAGCAAACUUCUUUUGUUCCUUCUUUCGUUUCUUCGCACUAGGUGCAAAAAUGGUGUCAUUCUGUGUGUUGUGGCUUUCUUCGCUCCCUAUGUUGGAAAGGGAUGCCUGGUCAAAAGAGAGUGUACGAAUGGUGAAAACCAGCUUAACAAAGCUGAAGAGAGUGGGAAUAAGUGUCGUUCCCACAGACGGCGCCAAAUGUUGAUGCACAAAAUCAGUAAGGACUUUGGUACAACAGAAAGUGUUAAGUUUGUGACCUUCGCUAGAUUGCUCCGGUCACUACUGUGGAUAAGUAUGUAAAUGAUAGAGACAGGGAAGCAAACACAAGAUGUACGUGGUUCACCCGAUUGGCUACGUCCACGGAGUAGAGGAGUUCUCAUUAAUUUUGAAGGGUUUACACAAGUACAUAGGUUCAAGCUCUCCUUUAGUGAGUACUAGUGAAUGAUUUAGUACAAAUGACAUUAGGAAAUAUUGUGGGAGAAUGAUCUCCUUUUAUAGAAAAGUUUCUAGCGUUGUUCUGACAUUGACACGUGUCGUGUUGUGAUUGGCUUCUAAUGUUGACACGUGUCGCGUUGUGAUUGGCUUAUGAUGUUGACACGUAUCGCAUUGUGAUUGGCCUCCUGGUUGGGGGGAAACUCUUCUGGGUCCUUGACGGUAUAACGUUGACCAGUGCUCAGUAGUUUCUGGAUUGGUCAAGUAUGGUAUAAACAACAUUAACCAAUGUCACAUAAUUUGGACACACAGUCCCAAUCUGUAUAUCCCGGAACAUUUCCACAGCCUCCUUAAAAAGCCUGUGUUGCGUGUACCCAGAUAUCAUCGCAUUCCACGACACCACACUUCUUUGAGGCAUUUUAUGAAAUAGCUCCCUGGCAGCUCUAAAAUCCCCAAGUCUUACACACCCAUCAACAAUCACAUUCCACAAAACUACAUUGCCCUCUUGCUUCCUUCCAUUCAAAACAUCAAAAUCCCCAACACUCCUAUAAAACAACAAAUUUGCAUCCUUCAUAACCUCACACAUUACAUACAUCCUCAAAAGAUUGCUCAUAACAAACCCAUCAUUUUCCAAUCUAAACUUCACAGCCAUGGCAUGAACACACUUACCCACCUCAAGAUUCCCCAUUUUUUGCACAGGCUUUGAGCACAAAGGGGAAGGUGAACUUAUUGGGUCCCACAGAACCAUCAGCAACCAUUUGAGAAAAGAAGAAGAGGGCAUCGUGCGAGUGGUCGUUAACAGAGUCCUCUGCGAGAGUCCUGAUGAUUGUGUUCCUAGAAAAGCAAUUGGGCUUCUCCAUUUGAGUGAAAACUGAACCGGUAUAUUGGAUACUGCGGUGGGUUGAGAGGGCAUAGAAGCAGAGGAUUUCGGCGGCGGCGAGGGGGUCAUGGAUUUGGCGGGUUUUGAUGAAGUGGGCGUGGACUUGGUGCAGGUCUUUGAUGGUUUUGUAUGAUGUGAUUUGUGGGAAGAGGGAAGAUGGGUGAGAGGGAGACUGAGUUGUGGGGUUGCAGAAGGUGAAGGUCAUGGCAGAGCUGGGAAUGUUUGGUGAUGGAGAAAAAGUUUGUGCUCAGCUCUGUAGAAUAUGGGGUAUUACAGUAUCUUCACGAAGCUUGCCAUCUCAGAUUUUUUUUUUCGAUAGGGCGGAUCAGAUUUUAUUUAGGAUUCAAUAAUUAUUAAGACAAAUCUUAAAUUUAAGGAAUAUGCUAAAGCUAGAAACUAUUUAGCUGAUGAUGAGCCACAAGGCGUUUUUUUCAAUUUUGAUAUCGUUUAUUACGAUAGUUAUUUCUUUAACAACAACUUUAUGUUUUUUUUGUCAAUCAAAAUAAAUUUCAUUAAAAAAGAAAACUAGUACAUAGUAAGACAAUUAAAAAAGAAAGUUCAGAAAAAGCCAAGCAAAAGCUCAACUCCAUAAAAGAAAAUUACAAUAAAAUAAGUCCAAAGUGAGUAGCUCGAAGCAACAAACAACCAGAAAAGCCUAGACAUGAAAAUGUAGGGGUGGGCACGGGCCGGGCCGUGCCCAAUUUUGAAGGGACCGGACUGGACCUGGGUGCAAAGGAAACGGGCUGAGCCGGGUAGGGGAUAGCACAUUCUUAUAUAGGAACCGGACCUAACCCGGCCCGGUUGAAACGGGCCAAUUCGGGCCAGGUCCACGGGUCCUUGGUUUUUUUUUUUUUUUUUUUGCGAAACUGCCACCGUCGCCUUCAAAUCUCUGUCUCCGUCGCCUUCAAAUCCGUUAGGGACUUACAGUCUGCCAUGCAGCACUUCCUCAUUUCCCAAACCACCAGCGCCGAGAAGUUUAAGAUUCCGAGUUGGAGGAUGAGUCGCAAGUCACAACCGAGUCGGUGGACCACAUCUCUUAGGUCGCGAUGUCUGAUUUGAAAUCCCACCUACAUCUUUACCGCCGAUAGGGUCUCCGACCGCCCCAACGUCGACUUGCGCGAUGAGAGGAUUUAACGGUGAGGUCGUCAAGCAGAACGAGAACGCAACGGUCGGUGGGGUGGUCCGGCGAGAAGGAGUGGGCCAGAAAUUGAAGGGUUAGAGUUAAGAAGGCUAGGACGCCGACGAGCUUCGACAUGGUUGGUUGGGUUUUGGGAAGGACUCUAGUGACAGAGUCGAGCUCGAGGAGACCUAAGAUGGGAGGAUGGGUGGUCGAAGGACGGACGACGAAGGAGAGACAACUGAGAGUUGGAGUCGAGGGACAGACGGCGUGGAGUGAGCUUUGAGAGAGACUCGAUCAGAUUCAGAGAUACUAGGGUAAAAACCAACGGUCAUUAUUGGAAGGUAUGUUUAUUUUCAAUCUGAGUCUUCUAUUUCAAUUACAAAUGAGCCGGUCUGGGGCCCCGUUUUUCUAUACAUCUGGAACCGGCCUGACCCUAAAAUGUCAUUGCCCCAGCCCGCACCGCCCCGUUUCCCCUAUUAAAAAACAGGACCUGCCCCGAACCGCUAAUACCCGCCCCUACCCAUGGGGCCCAGGGCCCGUUUGCCCACCCCUAUGAAAAUGUAAGGCAACCGCCUCUACCAAAAUAUCACCACCGCCACCGCAGAUCUGUCACCAGCACCUGGAAGAAGGGCUGAAGAAACAAAUGGAUGAACGGAAAAUGGGGAUAGGCAAGCUACCUGCGUUGAAAGUGCUCCCAUAAUCCUACCAAAUAGUGCAAAAUGCAAUUUAAAUGCUACGAGCCACCAAGGUGCACCUCCGAAGGAGAUCUUAGGAAGAGACACCUAAUGAAAUGAGCAGCAAGGGUAGAUGGUUGUAAUUUCACGGUGAGGAGUGAUAUUUGGAAAGGAGCAAGGCAUAGAAGCCAGAUAUGAGAUAAACUCAAGGACAACUGAGACCAAGCUCAGAGCAAUCUCAAACACAAAAUGCUCAGGGAGAAAAAAGCUGAAAGCUAAAUGCAUAAAAAGUAAAUCCAAAUCAUCAACCAUGGUGGUUUGGAUAAGUGAAAAAUGGGAUGGAGUCGGGAGAAAAAAAAGGGGGGAUGGGGAGGUAGGGGAAAAUGGGGGAAGAGAAGGGAAGAUAUGGAGGUAACAGAAGGUUGAAGAAAGGGGAAGACAGAGGAGGGCGAAAAAAUAGGGAGAAAAGGGAAGAAAGAGAGGAACCAGAGGGUGGGAUGAGGGCAAGGAGGGAUGAGCACUGGGUUGCCACCGACCCCAAGCUGGAGCAAGGAGCCGAUAACAAGGAAGGUUUCAGAAUUUUAGGGGUUUAUAAGAGUGAAAUUUAAUAUUUGAAACCUAAAUCUAAGCGACCAAAAAUGAGAAAGAGUUUGAGUUGAGUUACGUGGAAAAGGAAUGCUAGCUACUUUUCCAAUUUGCCUUUCCUAGCUACUUUUCCAAUUUGCCUUUCCGUUCUUACCUUUUCUACUCAUGCCUUACCGCUUGAACUCCACUUGUACAUCAAUCUAAGAAAUUAAUUAUUUAAAAACCUGUUACUUAGUACUACAGUUUAGUGAUAUUUAUCUUCACUUGUAAGUGAAAGGUCUUGUAGCGGCGGCUGUGUGGGAAGCCAUUGAUAAUAGAGAAUGUGGAGGUUGCUCUACACCAAGCCAAUGUAGUGAGAAUCAAGAUCAAAUAUACCUCACUUUGUCACACUGAUGUCCGCUUCUGGAAAGCCCGGGUCAGCGUUGCAAUUCUAUAUGCUCUUUUUUUUUUUUGGCAACUUCUGGUCUAUUACUACUUGUUACAUUUUCCUCCUUUGAAACUUCAAGACCAGAUGCCAAUGUUCCCGCGGAUAUUCGAUCACGAAGCAGCUGAGGUAAUUUGUUGCUUACUCUUAUGUUAAUCCUGAUUCACUAGUGAGAUUUAGUGCAAAUUAUGGAUUUGAAUGCUUAUUUAUUGAUCUUUGAAAUCAACAGGUUAUUGCUGAGAUGAUCGACGAUGGGGUUGAUAAUAGCAUAGAGCGCACCGGCAACAUCAAUGCCCUCAUGUCUGCUUAUGAAUGUUUUCAUGAUGUAUGUUUAAUUGCCUCACAAGUUACAUUGUCAUUGUUUAAUGACGGAAAUAUGAUUGGUUCUAACAUGAAAUGGUUCCGAAAUAUAAUCCAGCAAUCGCGGAAUGGCUAAAGGAAGAGAAGUUGUCUAGGACUAGGGUACUGGUUUGUGUAUCUACUGCAUAUGCGUGAUUUUCUAUGUGAUUCCCCGUGAGUAGCAUUCUGAAAUUUCUAAUUCAACAAGAAGAAAGAGAAAAUAAUUCAAAGAUUAAAUUCUUUAGUUUUUGAGAAAAUGAGGUCGUAAACCAUAUAUCUUAACGGCUCAUGAAAGGAAGUGCGAUAAUCACUUCGCAGCGUAUACUCAUUUCUCUCUGUCUCCCUCUCAUCUUGUAACUUAUCAUCUACGCCUUUCUCUCCGUCUCAUUUUAUCAUGCUGCCACUAAUAACUAUAUUAAGCGCGCCAAUUUCCUACCAUCAAUGCCAACUUCUGCAGAAAAGACCGUUUUUUUUUGUGUAUAAUAAGAUCUCCAUGAGCUUUGCAAAGAUUAAAACUAAUUAACUUCCCGUCCACUUUCCGAAAGGGACGGCUCCUCACAGUCAGGUUCGCUAUGCUAGGCCUUUCCUAACAGCUUAAACCAGCAGAUGAGAGAUUUUUCUUCUGUCUAUGAAGAUACCUUGCUCCAUUCCACGGUCCACCCAUGUGUCUGUUACUUGUACUUCUCCAUGAUUCUUCUGGCUUCUUCUAGACUGUCGUCUAUCCCGUCCUCCUUUGGCGUUGAGGUGGUGCCUCCACCCCCCCUGGGCCCUUCAUCCUUAUUCAAAGCAAUGAAUAUAAAGUAUACAAGUCCCAUCGUAGCCUGUUAUCAUACAAUGCUUACUUCAAUACAAUUGCAUAUCAUAUAUGUACUUUACAAAUACAGGACUAUCUAAUAUCUAUAUAAGAACAAUCUUCUCUUAUUGGCGAUAAAUUGUCUACGUAUUAUCUCAUUUCUUUAUGGUAAGGCAGCAAAAUACGCAAUUUACUGUUCUUGGAGGAGGAAAGAAAUGGACAACAUACCAGCGCAAAGAAAGCUGUAGACAGGAAAGAUUUGAGCACAAACAGUGAAAGUGUCAAUGCAACUAUAGUCACAGAAACCCUUGCAACUGGUCUCGGUACUGAAUUCUACCAACCCCAAAGCAAAAUGAAAACAGAAUAUCAACAAUCUCCAAUUUGUACAGAAAGAAAGAAAAACACCGGGCACUGAAAUGAAAAUCAUCGCAAGAAAGGGGAGACCCUACAGAACUUACCGGGACAAGAUUGGUUCCUGCCUCAACUCCAUCUCUCCCAACCUUCCAUGCCGUUUGCAGAACUAUUUACAUAAUUUACACCAGCAGUGUUAACACACAUGUAAAAAUAAACAGCAGUAACUAUGCUCUCUUGUAUGAGCAGGACAGCAACAAAAGUAGUUCAUGUGAUGCUAACAACAUUGAAUUUGAUGUGAAUUUAAGUUUUAAGAACAAAAUAACGUCCUCCAUGUGAUAAUGUAACUCAACCACAAACCUAACAUCUUAUCCUAACACUUCAAAAAUUCUGACUCAAAAUGAGCCUGCAUUUAAAGGUCGUAAUAGAAAUACCUUCUUGGACUACUUUUCAUGCAAUUGGAAGUGGAUCCUCCAUACAAGUUUUCCGUUGACGAAAACUGAAAAGAAACUAAUAAGGGGACCUGUUCUUAUGAACCUAUAAACGGUCGUACCCAGUGCACAAGGCUCCCGCUUUACGCAGGGUCUGGGAGAGGUGAAUGUCGGCUAGCCUUACCCCCAUUUAUGGAGAAAAUGCCACAGAACCAAAAUUGCCCCAAGAAAAUCACACUUGCUACACAUUGCACAUCAGUAAUCAGUUAGUCUUGCACCCGCCAAAUAUUAGGCUCUCAUGGAUUAUGCAUAAUUAGCCAGUUCCCUCAACUAUAAUCUAAAAUCGGAUCCCCCUCUUUAAUAAAGUUUUUGGACAACGCAGUGAAUUGUUAAACUAUAUCUAACUCUUGAGACUACAAAAUUCCAUAAUCUAACUGGAAACCAGCAUGCUUUCUGCAUACAUAUGCACAUUACUUCCUACUAACCAUUACCGUUCAGCUGCAAUAGCAUUAUUUAUCAAAACCCAGAAACCAAAAACCAAAAACAGAAAAAACUCAAUGCAGAAAACAGAAAAUUACAAGAACCCAUCAAAUAAAAAUGUUCAGGGAUGCCAAUCAACAAGUACAAAAUCAAAAGAGAAAGUAGAACAGCAACAAAAGCAGUGAAAUGCAGCUAACCUUUGAAGAAGUUGGACUGUGAAGCGAACACAACAGGAACCACAGAGCGAUGAUUCUGAGUCCUCUGCCUCUUAAUUCGAAUAGCUGAGAGUAAAGUCUGUUUGUUUAAUCUAAAAGAUGAACUGGAGGAGAAGAGCUGAGAGUUGGAGAAAGCUAGGGUUUGAUUCUUGUAACAAUUUGGGGAUUGUGGGGUUAUGCAGCACAGGCUUUGCAGCAUAACCGAACCGGCCAUUGAGUUAUCUUUCUGCAAAAAUGUCACGGAAGAUUAAUUGGGAGAGCUUCAACCGCCAUUUGAGGUUUUACACAGAUAAGGAGGAGAUUAGUUUAAGACUCUCUCAGCCUCACAAGCAAAGCGUUGGAAAGGGCCUACAAAUGUCCAAAUGUAACAGUCAUUAUUUUUCUGUGGGCCUUUUUCAUGGGCCAAUUUUAAUUGUCUUUGUAGGAGGCGUUUUGAUAUAUGUGCCUCAUUUUUUAAUUUUGUUGAUUAAAUAUCUGUUUAUUUUAAGAAUUUGAUUAAACAUCAAGGGGACCGGUUGCUCCAGCAACUCAAAUCGCCAGACUAAGUAGCUCUAGCACAUUCGAGCUAUUGGGCUGAGGGGGAGCCAAAGGGAGAGCUCAAGCACAAAUCCAAGGCCUAAGCGCCUGAGGGGGGAUUGGCGUCAGCUACGUUAUUAAAAAUUUUGCGUCAAGCGCAUGCAACACAAGUGCGAGUGGGUGUGCGUCACUGACAUGAUUUGUAGGUGAUGGGGCCCGCGUUGGACAGGCUGUCUAUAGUUAUUGCUGGGUGCAGCGUGGCACCCUCUCGGCCAUUGGAUUUCAACGACUCUUUUUUCUGGACCGUUCGAUUUCCAACGGUAAAAAAAAUUUCAAAACUCCCCCAACGACUAGAUGACGUGGCACAAUCUGAGCCUUUCGAAUCCAAAUCAACAGUCCAGUUUUUCGACUUUAAAACUUAAAAAAAAAAUGAUAUGUUACCGUUAUACCACGUGUCACAAUCUGGAGGGUUGGAUUUCAAAUAUUGUGUUAUCCAACGGUAUAAAUUAAUUAAGUUAAUAAAAAUAAAAAAUAAAAAAUAAAAAAUAAAAAUAAAAAUAAAAAAUCUGAAAAAAAAUUUAAAAAUUAAAAAAUAUAUAUUUUAUUUCUAUAAAUACUUUAUCAUUAUCUUCCACCUUACACCACACUUUCAUAUUUUCUCAUAUACUUUCAACCACAUUCCAAUCUUUCUCUCAAAGUUUAUAUAUACUUUCGUUUCAAUAAAAAAGGGCCAAUAAUGCAGGUACGAAUUGGACGCUUAUUGAAGAUGUUGCAUUGUGUUCUAGGUGGGUUGAAGUUACUCAUGUUCCGAUUACGGGUAAUGAGAUGUAGUUGCGAGAAAUGUGGAGCAAUAUUCAUUCCCUUUUCUUGAGAAAAUUGGUGGCAAAAGAACAGAACAAUCACUCUCAAGUCGUUGGAGAAUACUCAGCCAAUCGUUUACUCAUUAGAGAAACACCUUGGCACAAUCUAGUACUAAUAUUCGAAGUGGGGAAAAUUUCACGGAUCAGGUAACAAUAUAUUAUUUAUUUGUUUGUACUAUACCCAAAUUUACAUUAGCUACUUUGAUUAUAAUUUGUUCUUCUCCCACAUUUUGUAGACACUUCAAGCACAAGCUUGGUAUAAUGCCAAAAACAAAAACAAAUCAUUCAACUAGUGGGAAUGUUGGAAUAUUGUCAAAGAUGCCAAAUUUAGAGUUGUGCCUGUCGGUCUAGAAGUUGUCAUGAAUAGCACCUAUCUACACUCUAUUCCAAAUCACAACUCGCAUGUUCAUGAAAGCGACACAGAACAAGUGUCGGAAGCGACCCCUGAACAAGUGUUGGGGUCGACCUGUUAUCCACUCAGGCCUCAAGGUAAGAAGGCUUCAAAGAGAAGAGGGAGUUUUUCCAAGAAUGAUUAUGCAAAAUAUAUGGAAGAACUUGCUCGCCAAGGUGAAUUGACUUUGGCGAGGAAAAUGGCUAAAUUUGAGGUUGAUAAGGCAAAAGCUCUAGCUGUUGAAAGAUUAUUUCAAGCUAAUGAAAGAGAAAGAAAGCUACUUAGGCAAGACAGGGAGAUACAUAAAGAAGAAAGAAGGGCUCAACAAGAUCGUGACAUUAUGAACACGCCUGUAGAUGCGAUGCAUCCGAAUUCUAAAUAUUUUUGGAAUUCGAAAAAAGAAGAUGUGGUGCGAAGGAGGCGUACAAGAGACGAAGGAGCAAGUGGAGAUGGUCCUAGCACCACAAAUUGGUUAGGUGAUGAUUUUUCAUUCACGAGGAAGGUUCUAAAAAAUGCUAGGCGGCUAGGAGGGAUCUAGGCGGGCGCCUAGACGGAUUUAGGUAAAUUUAUUAUAUAUUUUAUGAAUUAAUUAAAUUUACUAAAUCAAAUGUAAAUAAUUAUUGACUAAUAUGUUAUUUCUUAUAGAAGAACAUACAUAUGUGAAUGUUUUAUGUACAUAUAUAAUAUGCUUGCCUAGGAAAAAAAACAAAAUAUUAUCUAAAUAAUUUAUAAUUUAUAUAACAUUUAUAUAUAUCCCAAACUUUUAAAAAUAUAAAAAACCUAUAUAGUGGUUGGUCUUCAUUAUUAAAGCCAUGAGCACCUCACCUCUUUCACAUCACCCGUCCACCACCUUGGGUCCAUGGCUUCAAUAUAAAAUAUAUAUAUUUGACAUUCCAGUCCAUCAAAACCAUCAGUGUCCAUGGUUUUGAUAAUUAAAACCAUCAACUUUUCCCUUGAUUUGAGAUCCCAGUCCUCGCCCUUUCAUAUUGAAAUGUUUCAGACUUUCAGUCUCUCUCUCUCUCUUCGCACUUUCUCUUCCCUCAUCUUCACAGACGAGCUACAUAACAGACCACAUAUUGAAAUGUUUAAUUCUCUCUUUCUCUUUCUCUCUCUCUUUUUGCACUCUCUAUUCCCUCAUCUUCACAGACGAGCUACAGAAUAGACCACAUAUUCAAAUGUUUAGUUGUUUUUCUCUCUCUCUCUCUUCGCACUCUCUUCCCUCAUCUUCACAGAGACGAGUUGCAGAAAUUUGCCGGUAAUCUCUCUAUCUUUCUCUCUUCGCACUCUCUCUUCCCUCAUCUUCACAGAGACAAGCUACAGAAAUUCGUUGGGGCUCUGCUACUAUGUACGAAAUCAGAAGUUGUAGAUUCGUUGCGAAAAUUGCAGCAAGUUUGAGAUUUCCAGCGAGAUUCAAACCGCCUAGACUGUCGCCUAGCGCCGCCUAGCCUGCCUCAGGCGCUUAGCGAGCGUCUAGGCGGCUGCCUAGGCCGAUUUUUAGAACACUGUUCACGAGGGACUAGGGAAUUUGUUUUAUAAUCGGAGCCUAUAAUUUUCAAAUCACAUUGGGUUGUAAUUUUGUAUUUAUUUAAUUUGGUACUUUAUGUAAUUUAUGUAUUUAUUGAUCUUGAUUUAAUUUGGUACUUUAUUUAAACUAAGAGAAUCUUUAUUCAAACAACAUAAACACACCAAAUAAAAAAAAUAACACACUAAAUGAACUUUAAAAACACACCAAACAAACUAAGAGCAUUUUUCUUCCACCACAAGCUUGUUUUAAAGUUUCGUGAGCUUGUUUCAAUGACCACAAGUGUUCUAUCAAGUCUCUUUGCCAGGUUUUGUGAUAGUAUGAGGAUUGAAGUGAAGUAUAUCGUUGAAUGAGCCUUACAUUGUAUCUUCCAUCCUUUUCUAAUAGCUCGUGUUGCACGGGUUCUUCGGUGGCAUUAUGAGCACAAUAUUUCUGUGUUUUGGAAUUAUUCAUCGUGUUUGGCUCAAAUUCAUCAACGACAUCAUAAUCAUACUUAUCUUCCACAAUCAUGUUGUGAAGAAUGAUACACGUCAUCAUGAUGGAUCAAAGCGACUCUAAAUCAAACAAUCUGGCAUCACCUAUGACAAUUGCCUAACAAGCUUAGAGGAUACCAAAACAACGCUCCACAUCCUUCCUACACCCCUCUUGACAUCUUGCGAAGUGUUUUUCCUUUUCAUUUCAUGGACGUGACACUGUUUUGACAAAUGAUAUCCACAUUGGGUAGAUGCCGUAUGCUAGGUAGUAUGCCCCUGAGUGUAUGGUUCCAUUGAUCGUAUAUGUGACUUAAGGAGCUAUUCCUUGCAGGACAUCGUUAAACACUAGGGAUUGAGCAAGGACAUUGAAGUCAUUUUGAGCUCUUAAAACACCGAAAAAGCAUGCCAAAUCCAUGUAUCAAAUGAUGACACCGCUUCCAAAAUGAUACUUUUGGCUCAUUUUCUGUCCCUAUAAACUCUUUGCCAUGCACUUGGAUAGUUUUUCCAGGUCCAGUGCAUACCGUCGAUACUUCUAAUCAUGCCAGAAAAACCUCGCAUCUCACCCUUCUUCAUAAGCCCUUGCAAGUCCAUUGUCGUAGGUUUCCGGAGGUACUCUCUGGUGUAGAUAUAUUCAAUUGCGGUGCAAAACCUCAUCAAGGACUCCAGAAUGGUUGUUUUUCCCAUCCUUACUAUCUUAUCCACUUGGUCUGCAAAUGUUCCAUAUACAUGCAUCCGCAAGGAAUCAUUAAUUUUUUGCUCAGGAAGGAGACCCAUGACACCAAAAUCACCAUUCUUUUGCACAAAGUAAGAAUCAUGGUUGCAAAUUCAUGAUUUUGUUGAACAUAUGUUGUUGCAUUCUAAAACGACGUCUAAAGUAUUCAUUAGGGAAUGCACUGUUGCGGUCAAAAUAAUUGUCCAAGAGAUCCUUACCUCAUCGUUGCCUGCUUCUAUCAAUAUUUGUGGAACACUUGUGCCUGGAGAUCUCAGCCACAACUUGAUGACUCGACGGGAAUGUGAGGCUGUUUAACUUCUUGCUUCAUCAUCUCUCUUUCUACGCUCCUCAACCUUUUCCUCUUCCAUCUCAUUUUCUCCCUCUUGGAGAUUGAACAUUUCUUUCCCUUACUUAAACAAUUCUUUCUUUUGCUCAUUGAUUUCCCCCAACAUCCUUGAAGAAGACAUUGUAAGAAGGAAGGAAAAACUAUGAAUAAGGAUAGAGAUUUUGAUUUUGGUGUGUGAUUUCUUAGGAUGGAUGGUGGGUUAUAUGGAGAAAAAAAAGAGAAAGAAUUAGGUUGUAGACAAUACCACGUGGCACGCCGUGAUUUGUUAAAAAUCUUAUUGAAAUCUAUCCUCAAAGAUUCUAAAUAGACUGUGACACGUGGCGCGACGGGUUUGUUUAAAAAUAUUGUUGGAAAUCUAUCCUCAAUGAUUCUAAAAAGGUAACGACACGUGGUGCAAUGAAAUUGGAUAAAAUCUUAUCGAAAUCUAUUACCAUAAAUUGUAUUGAAAUCUAUCACCAAAAAGUACUCUUUCGGAUAAUGACACGUGGCUUGACAAGACUAGUUAAAAAUUAUAUCCGAAAUUACAAAUAAAAUUAUUUUUUAUUAUUUUAUAAAAUAAAAAAUACUAAUAUUUUAUUACCUAUUGACAUGACUAUUUAGUUUAGGGGUGGAGAUGUAAAAGGCAAUUACUGUUCAUCAAAGACAGUUACUAUUCACUGGAGGGGAUUCAAUUGCCUAUUGCCAUGGGGAGCCCUUCCACACUGAAAUUGCUCUCAGCCUCACAAGUAGAGCAUUGGAAAGGGCCUACUAAUGACGAAAUGUAAUAGAGUUAUUAUUUUUCUACGGGCCUUUAUCAUGGGCCAAUUUUAAAUGUCUUUUCAAGAGACAUUUUGAUAUAGGUGCCUCAUUUUUUUAAUUUCGUUGAUUAAACAUUUGUUCAUUUUAAGAAUUUGAUUAAAUAUUUUUUUUUCACAAUUUUAAUAGAGGUAUGUUUAAUUUAAUUGGUACAUUGAAUAUGGGUACAUUUGAUUUAUGGUAUAGGCUUUUCAGCCAAAAUUGUCUAUCAUCAAUCACUUUGGUUAUUCCAUGAAAAAUCUUCAUUAAAUAAGAAUAAAAUGAUAAAAAUACCCUCAAUUUUUUGUCAAAUCAUUUUGGCCUAUUGUUUGUUAAAUUGAGGGUAUUUCUGUCAUUUUGAUCCUUAUUUUAUCAUAAUUUUUCAUAGAAGGACCAAAAUGAUUAACGGUGGAUAAUCUCAGAGACUACUUCUAUUGAUUUCAAAUAUUAGAGACUAAAGUAAAGAGUUAUGCAGAUUUCGAGGACCAUUUUGGCUAAAAAGCCUAUGGUAUAUUUAGAUGUUUGGUAGAAUUUGUUUCUUGGUACAUUUAGAAUCUAAAUGUACCAAAAGUUAGUAUGUUUAUGUGGAGUCCCCUAAUUUCUGAAAUACAAAUUUGUUAUAACUAUAUGUAAAAUUUUGACAAAUCAAUGAAGUUUUGUUAUGAAAGUAUUAAUGAUGUAAUGGAGGGAUAGACUAAUUAAAUAUAAUAACAGAAACAAAAAAUUCUCUCUCUUUUUUUUUUUUUUUUAUAGUUAAAUUAUUAUUUUUAAUAAGCCACAAAUUUAAAAUUUCUAUAUUGUAGGAAAUUAGUUGGUAGCUAGAUUAAGUGGAUAUAUAUAAAAUAAAUAGAAAAUGUUGAGUUGACAAUUGAUUGAAGCAUUUGAAUCAAAUUUUGCAAAGAAACACAUGUUUAGUCUAAAUAAAUUGGAAAGAAGGUACAAGUGUCACCAGCCCCAGACAAAGGAGAAGUUAAGGCGAAGAUAUUUCCCAAAAUGGGAGAAAGAUUACUCAUUUGAAUUUGUUUAUUUAUUUUAUUUGCAGAUUUAAACGCAGCAAAACUAAAUUAAUAUAACAUGAUGUACCAACGAAAUAGAUUAUGAUGAUAUUUUCAACUAAGUCAUCACUAACCAAUUAGCAUUUCCCACUAAGAUUUUAUGUUUUUCGAAGUGAAGCCAUAAUAAAGUACUCAUUUAUGAAGAGUGCCACAUCAAUUUUUGAAAAGUAGGAGGGAGUGACAUCCAUUAAUUUGAAAAUCAUUUACUUUUGUGGUAUAGGUCUAUCGAUUCAUCAACUUUACCAUUUCUGCUAAAACUAUUCAGAAGGUGUUUGGUAAACUUAAAAAAAAAAAAGGAUUAUUUUGGAAGUUGUGGUGAUUGACAACUGAAAUCAUUAGAAAAGCCGAAGCAGCUAAAUGCUGCUUUGGAAAACUGGUUUUUUUUUUCAAAGCACGCGGAGCUACAGUGCAUCUUUAAUGAAACUUUCUAAAGUCCAAUAACACCCUCGUCAUUUUUACAAAAUGACAGACCUUGUCUUUAGUACUCAAAUUGGAAUCUCUCACACUCGUUCACCCUUUCCCACGCAUCAGAGUAGGACCGCAGCCGUCUCGCCCAUUCUCGCUCAACACCGACCACCACCAUUGCACCAACAUUCAUCCCUAUUCUCCUUCCAGAUCCUCCAAAUACACAAAUAAGAAAAAGAUUCAAUCUUUUUUAGAAACCAUUUUUGAAAAUUUUCCGAUUGGAUCGAAUCCCAGAAUCCGAGCAAGAACAGGUCCAAAAUUCGAGUAAGAACCAGUCUAGAAUUCGAGCAAGAAAAAUAUUCCUACUUGCAAAAAAAACAGUCGGAAUAGAUGAGAGAUGACACGCCCCAACCCUGAUAUUCUCCCAAAUUUUCAUUUAAUCCCAAUUAAAACUUCACACAGAGGUUCAGAGAUUUACCCAGUCAUCGAUUAAGAAUGAAUUGAUCUUUGAUUAGUUGAAAUGGCACCAAUGAUGCUUUGUUGGUUUCUGGGCAGAAAAUAUAGAGCAUGCAUUAGCUAUAGUCCUUCAAAUUUAACAUCAAACUUCACAAAUAAAGUCAAGAGAGUUACCCAGAGUUGAGAUUUGGCAAUUAGUGUAGAUUCAAUCUCGAGUUCGCCGGAAAAAUGACCAUGAAGGUCACCAGAUUUUUGGGCAUGAACACAUAGAGGGCAUUGGGGUUAAAUCCCAAGAAUUUCAUGCCAAAAUUUGAUAUGCAGGAUACAGAAGUUGUACUUAAGAUUAAAUGAAGGUUGAAUUGAGUUUGAAGCACGCCAAUUUCGUCGAGCCUCAGGUUAACUCCUAGAAGAGUUUUUCACCGAGAGGGAAGGGUUGGCUUUCUUCAUUUUUGAGUACUUGAUCUUCACAUGCAAUGCCACCAUUUGAAUCCAUAGGUCAAACUACACCUAAAACAGGGAAUAUUGGUAUGGAUUUCACUCGGAAAGUCGAUAUUGAGGUAGAUGAGAAUCAGAAAGUCAAUCUUGUCGAUGAUCUUGAGGUAGAUGAGAAGGAACUUCUGGACGAUGUGGUCCUCAGAGUAGAGAAAAUCAGAUGAAAAAAAAAAAUUAGGCAAAAAGGAUAACUCUAGAAUUCUAGAUGGGAGAGAGAGAUAAAAAGAGAAGGAUGAAAGAGGGAGUGGGAGGCUAACUGAUUUUGUCUUGAUUAUUGCCGGAGAGCUCAGGGAUUUGAGUUCUCAAAUUUUCUUAUCCCCAACACCCAAAACAUGAUUCCCGUAACCCAAACUUGGGGUUAAAUUCGUAGGGGUGGAGAUGAUGAUAAUCUGGUGGUGAGAUGGUAUGAGAUCAAAGGUUUGUGUGUGGGGUUGUCUCGGUGGAGGAGAGAGUGCAUAGAGAGAGAGAGCGCAUAGAGAGAGAGAGCUUAGAGUUUUCGAGAGAGUUCGAGAGUGUAGAGGGAAAGGAAGACACGAGGAGAAAGGAAAUGGGGUGUGGGCCCCACGGCCACACAAAUCCUCACAUAAAAAUAGUAAUAUUAAAUAAAAUAUCAUAAUAAUAACAUAGUAUUAUACCCUUUUUAGUCAUUUCACACAGUCACAGUUGUUUUACAUAAAAGUUUACCAAACACUAUAAUACUACUUUUUUUUUUUCCAAAAGCACUUUUACAAAAAAGUUUACCAAACACUCUGCUGCUUUAUUUCACAGUUGUUUAUUGUCACAGCUCCACAAUUUCUUGGAGGUUAACCAAACAAACCUUAGUUGCAACUUCUUUGAACCACGUUGAAAUCCUCCCCUACAUAAAGCUACUAAGAAGUGCUUUUUGUUGAGAACAGUUAUGGAACACAAUCGAAACACUUGUAGAUUUUCUUUCGUCAUUGACGUCCCUACAACGAUGAUGAUGCAACAUGUCUUGAACAACUCAUUAAUGAAUACAUCAAAGGAGACAAUAUCAAACACAAUGCACCAAAGUUCUGUUUCUCUCAUUAGCAACAAAAGCAUCGGAAGAUUAAUGUCAAACAAAUCCGUUCUCAGGACAACUUGACGGACCUCUUCACCAGAUCAAUGUCGAAGACUACUUUCCAGAAGCUUGUUCAAGAAUUGGCAUCCGUAAACUUUUUAAGUCGUAACAUUGUUAGUUUUCUUUGGAAUUAUGUCAAACUUAGGGGGAGUAUCCUAAAGUGUACUAGCUUGAUCUUAAUGUACUCUUUUUUCCCUACGAUGUGGAGCAUUUUUCAGUUUUGAGUUUUUGCUACGUAGUGAGGUUUUAACGAGGCACCCAUCUUGAGCUAGUCAUAUCCCUGUGUAUAUCCCGUAGACAUUUAAAUUGGCUUUGCAUUGUCUCACCUUUUUCCUUAGACUUGGGAUUUUGUCCUAUAUUUGGUUUUACCAUAACUGGGUUUUGUGAGACUUAUUUCCAUAUGCAAGUUCCCUUCUUUUAAGACUAGCGUGUUCCUCAACUUUACCUACUGACAAUCUACACACGAGUGUAAUAGAUAUUCUUUAAUUGUGAUUUUAUAUAUCUUAGAUAGAUUUGUUUUCUAGAUUAUCUAUCACUAUAGUUAUUUUUCCCUAUAGCAUUAUAUUUAGUGGGAGAACAAGUUAAUCAUCUCCUCUUAUUUUACUAUAAAUAAAGACACUGCUUAAGAAUAUAUACACACAACAAUCUUUAAGCAUUGCACGAUAUCUCCACUCUCUCUAUUGCUGCACCACCUCUAUUUCCUCAUGAGUUAAUUAUAAGCCACAACACAAAACUAAUUUAAAUAUUUUUUUUGGGCCGGGACUCUUCAAAUUCCUAAACAAAACUAAUUAAGGGGAAUAAAAUUACGAUCUUUCUCUCUCUUAAAUUUUCAUGUUCUGUGUCUCUUGUUUUUCACAGAUAUCUUGUCGCCUCAUCUCUCUCGCUUUAUCGUCCAUCUUUCAUUCGUGGACAAUUAAGAAUUUGUGCUUCCUUUCCUUCGAAAAGGUAUGUCGUUUUUUCUUCCCCUUUUAAUUCUCAUCUUUAGUUCACGUUGCUGAUGCAUAAACCCACCAAUUUCUCUGUAAUUUUUUUACGUUUUCAUUAUUCUUUUUCGAUUUGUUGUGUCAAAAUUGAAAUGGAAUUUGUUGGCUUGAUUUGGUAUUCGCUGUAUCUCCAUCGGCAUCCGGAUGCAGUGUUAAAUGAGCAAGGGGGCCGUAGAAACUUCUUUUCGAACGACUCCACUCAAAGUUGUUUGGGAGCAUAUGCUCCUAUCAACUUUACACGGGACACACAAAAGAAGUACUUUGAUCCUAUUAGACGGGGGAGGGUGAAGAAGCUAGGACAGAAGGGUAGAGUUCAAGAGAGCAAAAUGCGUUUAGGAACGUGGAAUAUAGGAACCUUAACGGGAAAAUCUAUGGAAGUAGUGGAAGUUAUGGUGAGGAGAAGGAUAAAUAUUAUGUGCCUACAAGAAACUAAGUGGGUUGGUAGUAAGGCAAAGGAUCUAGAAAACUCAGGGUUUAAACUUUGGUAUUCGGGCACAAAAUAGAACGAGAAACGGUGUUGGCAUCAUCGUGGACAAGACCUUGACACAAGAUGUUGUAGAUGUCAAGAGGGUAGGAGAUAGAAUCAUGGCAAUCAAGAUUGUAAUAGGACAAGAACUUAUCAAUGUGAUUAGUGCGUACGCACCUCAAGUAGGGUUGGAUACGAGUUCGAAGGAGAAAUUUUGGGAAGACCUUGGAGACUUGGUGCAAGGAAUUGCUCAGACGGAUAAGUUAUUUAUAGGAGGAGAUUUAAAUGGACACGUGGGCAGGGAGACAGGCAACUAUGGAGGUUUUCAUGGUGGCCAUGGUUUUGGGGAGAGAAACGAGGAUGGGGAAGCUAUCUUGGAUUUUGCAAUGGCAUAUGAUCUCUUCUUAGCCAACACCUUCUUUAAGAAGAGAGAAGAACAUGUGAUCACCUACAAGAGUGGGUCGUCAAAAAACACAAAUAGAUUUUCUUCUAAUGAGGAAAGGGGAUCGUAUAACUUGUAAGGAUUGCAAAGUUAUACCAGGAGAGAGCGUGGCUAAUCAACAUCGCUUGUUGGUGAUGGAUGUACAUAUCAAAAGAGUGAGACAAAAGAACAAGACUUGGAAGUGCCCAAGGACUAGAUGGCGGAAUCUAAAAGAAGAAAAACAAGCCAUUUUCAAAGAGAAGGUAAUCACCCAAUGUGUGUGGGAUAGAGAGGGGGAAGCUAGCCAAAUGUGGGAUUCCAUGGCUAGUUGUAUCCGAAAAGUAGCAAAAGAGGUAUUAGGAGAGUCAAAGGGCUUUGCCCCACACCAAAAGGAAUCUUGGUGGUGGAAUGAGGAGGUACAAACAAAGGUGAAGGCUAAGAAGGAAUGUUGUAAAGCCUUAUACAAGGAGAGGACCGAUGAAAAUGGUGAAAGGUAUAGAAAAGCGAAGCAAGAGGCAAAGAAAGCUGUCAGAGAAGCUAAGUUAGCGGCUUACGACGAUAUGUAUAAACGACUAGAUACCAAAGAAGGAGAGUUGGAUAUCUAUAAACUAGCUAGAGCAAGGGAAAAGAAGACAAGGGACCUAAACCAAGUGAGGUGCAUCAAGGAUGAGGAUGGAAAGGUUCUUGCUACAGAGAACGCGGUUAAAGACAGAUGGAGAGGUUAUUUUCAUAAUCUUUUCAAUGAAGGACAUGAAAUGAGUGCUUCUUUAGGGGAGUUGAGUAACUCAGAAGAGUGUAGAAACUACUCUUUUUAUCGUCGAAUCCGGAAGAAAGAAGUGGUUGUAGCUUUGAAGAAGAUGAAGCAUAGAAAAGCAAUAGGCCCAGACGAUAUACCAAUCGAAGUGUGGAAAGUUUUGGGAGAGACAGGUAUAACAUGGCUCACUGACCUUUUCAAUAGGAUUUUGAAAACGAAGAAGAUGCCAAAUGAGUGGCGAACGAGCACUUUGGUGCCUAUCUACAAGAAUAAGGGCGACGUACAAAAUUGCAUGAACUAUAUGGGUAUUAAGUUAAUGAGUCAUACAAUGAAGCUCUGGGAGAGAGUCAUUGAGCAUAGAUUGAGGCAAGAGACACGGGUUUCGGACAACCAAUUCGGGUUCAUGCCAGGGCGCUCAACCAUGGAGGCAAUCUAUCUCUUACGAAGAUUGAUGGAAAGAUAUAGAGAUGGGAAAAAGGAUUUACACAUGGUCUUUAUAGAUUUGGAAAAAGCGUAUGAUAGAGUCCCAAGAGACAUUCUUUGGAGGAUUUUAGAGAAGAAAGGAGUACGAGUAGCAUAUAUCCAAGCUAUAAAGGAUAUGUAUGAAGGAGCAAAGACUGCCGUAAGAACUCAUGAAGGACAAACCGAAAGCUUUCCCAUAACUGUAGGAUUACAUCAAGGCUCAUCCUUAAGUCCUUACCUUUUUGCGUUGGUAAUGGAUGAGUUAACAGGACAUAUUCAAGAUGAUAUUCCUUGGUGUAUGCUUUUCGCAGACGAUAUAGUGUUGAUAGAUGAAACUCAGGAAGGGGUAAAUGCAAAGCUUAACCUUUGGAGAGAAGUGUUGGAAUCUAAAGGUCUUCGCCUAAGCCGAUCAAAGACAGAAUAUAUGGAGUGCAAGUUCAGUGCAAAUGGAGGCCAAAACGAGUUAGGGGUGAGGAUCGGAGAUCAAGAAAUACCAAAGAGCGACCGUUUUCGUUACCUAGGAUAUAUCUUGCAAAAGAACGGAGAAUUAGAUGGAGAUCUCAACCAUAGAAUACAAGCUGGAUGGAUGAAGUGGAAGAAUGCAUCUGGUGUGUUGUGUGACCGCCGUAUGCCACUGAAGCUCAAGGGAAAAUUUUAUAGGACGGCAAUAAGGCCGGCGAUGCUGUAUGGCACAGAAUGUUGCGCGGUGAAACAUCAACACGUACACAAAAUGGGUGUAGCGGAGAUAAGGAUGCUUCGUUGGAUGUGUGGGCACACGAGAAAGGAUAAGAUUAGGAAUGAGGAUAUUCGGGGUAAAGUAGGAGUAGCCGAAAUUGAAGGAAAGAUGAGAGAAAAUCGGUUACGGUGGUUUGGACAUGUGCAAAGAAGGCCUACUGACGCUCCGAUUAGAAGAUGCGACUAUGGGACAAAGGUUCAGGGCCGAAGGGGUAGAGGAAGACCUAGGAAAACUUUGGAAGAGACUCUAAGAAAAGACUUAGAGUACUUGGAUCUAACGAAGGACAUGACACAGGACCGAGCACAAUGGCGUUCCAAGAUUCAUAUAGCCGAUCCUACUCAGUGACUUGGAUUUUCCAAGUCUCCAACCGAGAAGUUUUCCUCACUCGGAAAAUUAAGGGAACACUACCCCAACCUACAUGCUCCACUCAGAAAGCUUCAACAUACAAGCUUCAACAAAAGAAAAUUCAAAGAACUUAGCGAAGAAGGCUUUGGUGUAUUUAACACAAUACGUUGAAAUGAAGGAAAACUUAUUUAUUGAUAUCCCCGAUAAGCUACAAAUAUGUACAUAUACAUGAGUCAAAAUAAACAAACAAGAUGGAGCCUUCACAAAGGUUGCUUAGGAGAAGUCUCAGCAGUCGGUAGAGCCCCAGAAAGAGAAGGCAUUGAAGGGGGAUCAUUCGGAGCCUCAGUACUGGACAGAACCCUAGAAGGAGGAGGCAUCAGAGGUUGAUCAUUUGGAGCUUCAUUACGCGGUACAGCCCCAGAAGACGAAGGCAAUAAAUGCCUUUGGAACAAACCCACAAAUCUCUGAUGAUCAAGUAAAACCUGACCAUCAGUUUCUUCAUCUGGUCAAGCUUCCUCUUCAUGUUUGUAGCAUAGUCAUGUGCGAGCCGGUGCAACUGUUUAUUCUCAUGCUUGAGCCCUCUAAUCUCCUGUUUGAGACUCAUCACUUCGGCCGCCAAUGAUUCAACUUGGCGGGUUCGAGCAAAUAGGCGUUGGGCCAUAUUAGACACAGAACCGGCACACUGAACACUGAGAGCCAGCGAAUCCUUAACAGCUAACUCAUCAGACCGUUUGGAAAGUAGUCUGUUAUCUUUGGGAGUGAGAAGGUUCCUGGCCACCACCGCAGCGGUCAUAUCAUUCUUCAUCACGGAAUCCCCAACGGUAAGAGGACCAGUAAGGGAGACGAAGGAUGGGCGCCAUAUGUUGUCUGGAGAAGGCGGGGCUGCCUCUUCAACAAGGUUCAAGUCAAAACGACGGUCGGAGGGGCCAGACAUUUUCAAAGGUGUUGAAGAGAGAAGAAGUCGGACAAAUCAAGAUCUUAGAAGUGCAAGAAUGGAGCUUCUACUGGUGGAGAUUCAAGUGUGCUUUGGAACUUAAUGCCAGCCCCUAUAAAAAAGCUGCACUCGACGGAGCUUCAGACAUCGAAGAGGCGCCUGCUCAGAAAUCGAAGAGGCGUUUGCUUUCUCAAAAGCUGGGCUGCUUAGAGACCACGAGGGUGAUCUCAUAAAUCGAAGAGGUGUUUGCUUUCUCAAAAGUUGGGCUGCUCAAAGACCAUGAAAGCCGAUCUCAGAAAUCGAAGAGGCGCUCGCUUUCUCAAAAGCUGGGCUCCUCAGAGACCACAAGGGCCGAUCUCAGAAAUCGAAGAGGCACCUACUUUUCCAGCCUUGUCAGCACCUGUCACACGCACACUCAGCUUUGCGAAAAUUAUGGGUAUUCUGUCGAAGACUUCUGGGGAAGUAGAAAACACAUGAAUCUUACUGUCCAAUCACCCACUUCCCACACGCAACAAUAGCUCAUGGGUACCACAGAUAACUUUGCCAAAGUUCUCUGCCAAAAUUGAGCACGUGAAGCUUGCAGCUCCCACUACAUCGCUCUGACCAAGAAGGGUAAAAGAAUAGCAAAGAAACAACACUAACAAAGUUUAGACCCAUAAAUUUUGAAGGUCUAGCUACCAUAUUAUUACCCACAAGGGUAAAGGAACAGUACCACUGCUGGAUAAUUGGAAAGUCCCUGUGUGUCAACCUCUGUGCCUCGUGGCAAGGUAGACUAGCAAACAUGCCCAACCUUUACUCACAUUCGAGAAAACACUCCCAAUAAGAUUGCUUGCUCCAAAAUCGAAGAGGCACCGUCUUCCGAAUCUCGAGAGCCAGACUCGCAACAUGAUUACUUUCUCAAAAAUCGAAGAGAGGGUAAAGGAAUAGUACCAUUGCUGGAUAAUUGGAAAGUCCCUGUGUGUCAACCUCUGUGCUUUGUGGCAAGGUAGACUAGCAAACAUGCCCAACCUUUACUCACAUUCGAGAAAACACUUCCAACAAGAUUGCUUGCUCCAAAAUCGAAGAGGCACCGCCCUCCGAAUCUCGAGAGCCAGACUCCCAACAUGAUUACUUUCUCAAAAAUCGAAGAGACACUGCUCCCCGAAUCUCGAGAGCCAGACCCCCAGCAUGAUUGCUUUCUCAAAAAUCGAAGAGGCAUCGUUCUCCGAAUCAAUCGAAGAGGCGCUCGCUUUCUCAAAAGCUGGGCUGCUCAGAGAUCACGAGGGCCGAUCUCAGAAAUCGAAGAGGCACCUACUUUUGUAGCCGUGUCAGCACAUGUCACACGCACACUCAGCUUUGCGGAAAUUAUGGGCAUUCUGUCGAAGACUUCUGGUGAAGUCGAAAGCACAUGAAUCUUACUGUUCAAUCACCCACUUCCCACACGCAACAAUAGCUCAUGGGUACCACAGAUAACUUUGCCAAAGUCUCUGCCAAAGUUGAGCACGUGAAGCUUGCAGCUCCCACUACAUCGCUCUGACCAAGAAAGGUAAAAGAAUAGCAAAGAAACAGCACUAACAAAGUUUAGACACAUAAAUUUUGAAGGUCUAGCUACCAUAUUAUUACCCACAAGGGUAAAGGAACAGUACCACUGCUGGAUAAUUGGAAAGUCCCUGUGUGUCAACCUCUGUGCCUCGUGGCAAGGUAGACUAGCAAACAUGCCCAACCUUUACUCACAUCCGAGAAAAACACUCCCAACAAGAUUGCUUACUAAAAAAUCGAAGAGGCACCGCCCUCCGAAUCUCGAGAGCCAGACUCCCAACAUGAUUACUUUCUCAAAAAUCGAAGAGACACUGCUCCCCGAAUCUCGAGAGCCAGACUCCCAACAUGAUUACUUUCUCAAAAAUCGAAGAGACACUGCUCCCCGAAUCUCGAGAGCCAGACCCCCAGCAUGAUUGCUUUCUCAAAAAUCGAAGAAGCAUCGUUCUCCGAAUCUCGAGAGCCAGAUACCACAUACCACUUUUUCAAAGUGCUCUGACAGAGUUAAAACAUGUGAAGCUGGCAGCUCCCACUACCGUGCUAUGACCAAGCAGGGUAAAGGAAUAGCAUUACUACUUGUUGUUAGGGAGACUCCUAUAUAUGUCGACCUCCAUCCCCAACGGACAGGCAGACCUGCAAAAAUGCUUAACCCUUCCUCAUAUCUGAGAGGGCACUCCCAACGAAGCCUUCCGAAAUAUUCAGCUUUCUUUCCCCCCGAUAAUACCUCUGCAUUUUCAAUAAUAAUAUAAAUCAUAUUUCAAAUACACAAUUAUAUCAAUUAUAGAAAUAUAUCAAAUAUCACACAUAUUUCACAACGCUUAAACAAGACAAAUACCCUAAUAGUAAUAAAUUUAAAAUAAAAACCCAAAAAACCCCCUACCUUAGUUCCAAAGCUAGAGCCUAACUUUGUGUUCCAACCUGAGUGCCAAGCUUCACGAACAAGCUCCUAACACCAUGUCUUUCUGUCACUCUCUUUUCAUUCCUAAUCUCUCUCUCUAACAUAUAAUUAAUAUAUAUAUAUAUAUAUAUAAAAUAUAAUAUAAUACAAACCAUCGUACUUUGCAUGACAACUGCAUGCAAUGUACAAGAUAUAAAGACUUGGAAGAAUGGUACGAAUGGUACGAAUAAAAAUUAAAGAUUGGAUGCUACUUAUAGUAGGCAAAGGUCGGCUAAAGGGGAAUAAAUAGAUAGAAAUGGGCUGAGAAGAAACUUUGGUGCAGCCCUUAAAAGGAACACGUGGUUGAUGACUCAUAGAAUGCAAGGCCACGUGGCAAUUCACAAUAAGGUGACUGACACAUCAGAUGUGUCGUGCAUUUCAUAUGGCCAGGUAGGAAACUUGAUACCUAACCACGUGCAAUUGAUGAAACAUACACCUUAGUCAUUAGACGUAUGUGGUGGAGUGACUUUAGGACAUGGUGAGUCUGACUGCCAUGCAAAAAAAUAAAAUGAACAAUAGAAAAUAAAAUAUAAAUGGGCAAACAAUAUAAAGUCUCCUAUUGGCUGGGCCAUACUAGUAUAAAUUUAAGGUUUUACAAUCUAUCCUUCUUAAAACAAAUUUCAUCCUCAAAAUUUACUAAAUAAACUCAACUCUUUCCGUCAAGCCUAAUAAAGCUUAAACUAAUCUUGUGUCACAGUUCCCAAGGGUGUCUACUAGCUAGCUCUAAUACCAUUCUGUCACGUCCCAGACCCGAGAUUGGUAGAAAAAUAACCUUGUGACCAUGGACGGAGGGAGGUAAGGCCCAGUGGGGCCACAUGCCCCCUCUCAUCCUAUUUUGUUUGCAUUACAAAUUAUUCAAUUAAUCAUUCUUAUUUUUUUUGCUUUACAAAUUAUUCAAUUAAUCAUAUUAAAAUAAUGAAAAUCCUCCUUUAGUUUUUAAAUGCCCCUCCCUCCUUCCUUUCUGUAUAUUUUUCUCAUGCACUAAUGUCUAAACCUUAUUGAGUUGCAUGUAUUUGGUUAGUUAGUACAAAUGAGCAUUGGAUUGUCAAUACAACAAUUAAAGACAAAAUUAAACAAUAGAGUAAUACAAUUAGGCAUUUUGUAACUAAUUUUUUUCAGCAUUUGUAAAAGAACUAGCUUUAUUUGUCCAAAAAAUGAGCUCAAAUUUUUUAAGGUGCCCCCUUUUAGUUAAAUUUCUGACUUCGUCCCUGCUUGUGACCGGCGUGCAAAUAAAAAUACAAAAUAAAACGAACAACUAAACUUCUCUUACAAAAAUAACUCAAAAAUCCUUAUAGGGUGUACAAAAUAAAACAUAAAAUAAAACCCUUAAAUCUCUCGUCGAACACAACCUCAGCUCGUCUACCCUUCUUUAAUCUUGUAUCGAACCUGCAAGGUCUAAAAUGUAUAGGGUGAGCGAAACCACAGUUCAGUAGGGACAUAAAUCUUAUCAAGGCCAAACCGAGUGUCAUGCUCUACAUAUUAUCACACAUAAAUUAUAUUCCAUAAAUACAGCUUAAUUUCAGUUACCUCAACCCGUUAAUCUAUAUAAUAAAACACUCAGACCUGCAUGUUCCAUACCAUGCAUUUACCACUGCAACUUAACUUCAAUUGCCCUAACCUGUUAAUCUAUAUAAUAUUGACUAUUUCUUAAACCAACACUAGUACUAUCAUGGAUUAGUAAACUAGUACUAUCACUAUUUCGUAAAUUAAACACUACUAUUUCUUAAACCGAACAAUAAUGCUACCACUAUUUCGUAAAUAAAACACUAACUAUUUCUUAAACCAAACACUAGUAUUAUCACUAUUUCUUAAACUGAAAAUUGGCUAUUUCUUAAACUGAAAACUAAUAUUAUCACUGUUUCGUAAACUAAAUACUGCCUAUUUCUUAAACUAAACACUAAUACUAUCACUAUUUCGUAAACUAAAUAUUGCCUAUUUCUUAAACUAAACACUAGUACUAUCACUAUUUCAUUAACCAUGGUAGAAAAAACAAUGGACAACAGACGAAGCUCGAUUGGAAAAUGCACACUAGCAUCUAUGGUUUUGGGGCCAAGAAAUUAGUAGCUAAUAGUUUGAAAAAUAAACUUGGAAAAUGCAUGGCAUCAACAUUAACUAGAUACAAAUGAUUAGUUGUGUUUUCUAAUUUGUUGUUAUACAGAUUGAUGGAUGAGUCGUGAACAUUUUAACAAUGAAUAGCAAACCCAAAUAAUUGUUCUAUACACGAUAAUGUCGUAAAAAGUAUUAUGAUGGUCGAAUCUCUUCAGGAAGUGUCAGCCAAAGUAAUUAGUCAUUGGAGUUAGAAGAGGGCAUGUCUUUCUCUAAUUUUAGGAAAGAUGAGAGCCUAUUCCAUUCUCACAAAAAAGUUCAAAUGGGAAAUCAUCUAUUAAGAUUAUUAUGGGAGAUAGUUAUUAUAUUUUCGUUGAAAAUGGCAAGAGCGGGGAACAUGAGGGGAGCAUUGAAUAAACAUUACUACAAUAUUAGCUUUAGGUGUCGGACGAUCCUGGCGGUUAAUAAGCUAUUUUGACGGAUAAAAGAUAUCUGACACAAAAUUUAUUUACUGUCGGAUUAAAGAUAUUUUCUGUCGGAUAUAUCCGACAUAAAUUCCUGGCGGAUUUUUCCUGGCGGAUUUAACCGCCAUAAAAUUAUUAUAACCCUCAAUAUUUUUUAAUUCAUUUUUUUUUAAUAUUUUUAACAUAUUCUGGCGGUUUCUAAGUUAAUGGUGGCGGUUAUAACCGACAAAAAUUGACUAUUUUAUUAUUUUAAAAUGUUACAUUCAUUAAAAAUAAAUAAAUAAAUAAACAGAUGGUUUAAAUUUUUUUUUUUCACUCACGGUCCCGUUAUCUAAUCUCUGAUUUUUUAUUUUUUUUUGCGAUUUUUUACACAUGCUAUCUUGGAGUAUAUACAAACAUAUUUGACGGUUGGAUCGUUGAAACUAGUUUCAUAGAAUGCAUAUCCUAUCAAAUUGAUAGAUUUAACAAACACUUCAGAGUUAAUGUUAUACUUCCAUUAAGUAUAAAAAAUUAUCCAUUAGUGUAAAUAUUUUAAAUUGAAGAUCGAAUUCGUUCAAUGCAUUCUUAUAGGGUCGAGGAGUGUAGCUAUAUAAAAUCAUCAAAAUCGGAGCUAAAAUAACUGUUAAAUUGUGAUUUUUCGUUUAUAACCGUCGAAAACUUUUGUUCCGUUGCAUAAUCUCUGAAUGUUUGUUUUUUACGAUUUUUUACGUAUGCAAUCUCAGAGUGUGUGCAAAUAAGUUUGACAGUUGGAUUAUUGAAAAAAGUUUCAUAGAAUGCAUAUUGUAUCAAAACUGUAGAUUAAACAAACACUUAUAGUUAAUAUUAUACUUCUAUUAAGUAUAAAGUAAGAUUUUGUGGUAUCCACUAGUGUAAAUAUUUUAAAUUAAAGAUCGAAUUUAUUCAUUACAUUCUUAUAGGGUCGAGGAGUGUAGCUGUAAAAAAUCAUCAAAAUCGGAGCUAAAACAACCGUUAAAUUGUGAUUUUUCGUUUAUAACCGUCGAAAACUUUUGUUCCGUUACGUAAUCUCUGAAUGUUUAUUUUUUACGAUUUUUUAUGUAUGCAAUCUCGGAGUGUGUACAAAUAAGUUUGACGGUUAGAUCGUUGAAAAAAAUUUCGUAGAAUGCAUAUCACGUGAAAACGGUAGAUUAAACAAACACUUAGAGUUAAUAUUAUACUUCCAUCAAGUAUAAAGUAAGACUUGUGGUAUCCACCAAUGUAAAUAUUUUAAAUUGAAGAUCAAAUUCGUUCAAUGCAUUCUUAUAGGGUCGAGGAAUGUAGCUGUAAAAAAUCAUCAAAAUUGGAGCUAAAAUAAUCGUUAAAUUGUGAUUUUUCGUUUAUAACCGUUAAAAACUUUUGUUAUGUUACCUAAUCUCUGAAUGUUUUUUUUUUUUGUGAUUUUUUACGUAUGCGAUCUUGGAGUGUGUACAAACAAGUUUGACGGUUAGAUCAUUGAAAAAAGUUUUCGUAGAAUGUGUAUCGCGUCAAAAUAGUAGAUUAAAUAAACAAGUUUAACAGUUCAACAGUUAUCUACAAACAAGUUUGACAGUUCGAUCAUUGAAACUAGUUUCGUAGAAUGCAUAUCUCCUUUAAAUUUGCCUAAAUUUUUAAGUGGGAAAACUAAUUUGUGCUAAAUUUUUAUUUAUGCUUUUCAAGUAUUGAUUAGACAAUAUUUAGUUUGUGUGAUGACAUUAUCAUUGCACAAUUAUCUUUUUGUUUAUUUAUUACAUAUUUUACAUGGAUUAUUAUCUAUUAAACCAAACAAUUAUUUAUUUAAUUUUUAAAAAUGUAUUCUAUUUAAAUACAUAUUAUUUAUUAAACCAAACAAUUAUUAUUUUAUUUUUUAAAAUCGUAACAAAAUUUUGGGGGGAAAUUAAAAUUUUGGGAGGGAAUUUGAAAUUUUGGGAGGGAAUGUUGGGGGGAAUUGUGCCACCUUUUUUUUGCUGUCGGUUAUAACCGACAGUAAUGAAAAUGUUUCUGUCGGUUUUAUAUUUUAAAAAAUGUUUCUGUCGGUUUUAACCGACAGUAAUGAAAUUUUUCCAGAAUAAAACCCAUUCAUUUCUUCCUUGCGCCGAUGCCUUCUCCCUUCCCCCUUUUCUCCUCUCCUCAUUUCCUUCUCUUUCUCAGCUCCUCUCUUGCGAGAUUUAAUGCACUUGUUCAUGCAACUUGUUUUCCUGAUGUUUCAAGGUAAUUUUUAACUGAAAGUAUCACAAGAUUUACAUAUUUGUUUAUAUUCCCUUCCAUUUUUAUAACUUGAGCCUGACUAUUUCAUGGAUGUCCCCAGUUCAUAGCAUAUCUGAAGCUCAUCCAACAUCUAGCCGUUUAUAAAGGAUACAAAGGUUAGAUAAAAUGCUUGAGUACCUACCUAAAAAGAAUAUAUUUUUUUCAUAGAUGCUGCCAUAUUAAUUUUAGGGUUCGAAUACUCCCUCUCAUGUGUAUCUGAAGCUCAUCCAACAUCUCCCUCUCAUGUUCAUCGCAUAAACAAAUGUUGUUCAUCCUUGAUGACUUGUAUUUUUUUUCUCUCCUUGUUUAGAGGCUUUUGCUGCUCUUAAAAUAGCUACAGAGAAGUUUUUAUCCAUCUCCAAAUCAAGAAUUUUGUUACUGAAACUUCAACUGCUCCAUGAGCGUGCUUUACAUAGGUAAGUUUACCAUGUGCACUAUUUCAUGAAUAUCUUGAUCAUAUACAGUAAUUUUUGUGUCUAUGUUGGUCAUGACCUUGCCAAAUAUCAUUUAGAGGACAUUUGAAGUUUGCCCAACAAGUAUGUGAUGAGCUUGGAGUCCUGGCAUCAUCUGUCAAUGGCGUGGAUAUGGAACUGAAGACGGAAGCAAGUCUCAGAAAAGUUCCUAUUGCUUGCCACAAAUCAGUUCAGUGAGGUUUGAUUAUUCAAUUUUUUUUUAUGAUUAAUAGAUUUUAUGUCGGUUAUAACCGACAGUAUUUCUGUCGGAUAUAGCCGACAUAAUUUCUGUCGGUUUUAUAGUAUUUUCUGUCGGAAAAUUCAUUUCCUGACGCAGGCAAUGCUGUCGCUUAUUAUAUCCGUCACCGCAUCCAUUUUCUGUCGGAUUUUGCUUAAAAUCCGACAGUAAUAUAUGUUUUUUGUCGGUUUUUGAACCGCCAGUUAUAGUUAAUUUUGUAGUAGUGAAACAUGGAAUAAAGAAAGGGGAAGGAGGCCCGUGGGGCUAUGCGGCUAGGUUUUGAAGCUACAAAAGAAAAUAAUAGUAAAAGGUGUGGGCCGCUGCAAUAUAUAUAGUAAGCUUAUAGAAUUUGAAAGCACUUUGGUGAGGUUAUUUUUUGUUUUUUAUUUUUUUGUCCUUAUUAUUAAAUAAAGUUAUAAGAUGUUUUUUUUUAGUCAAAAUGCAAAAUUUUGAAGCUAUUUUCAUUAAUUUUCCUAUUUUUCUAUACACAUGGUUGUCACAUGUCUGGGCUAAUUUGAUUAUUAACCUAGGAUUGGAUAUUAUAUUACAUAGGAGCCUAUUGUGGGUUUCGUUUUUUGGGGUGAGAUGAAAAGAAACAACCAUUAGAGCCUCCAAGAACUCGAAGGUCAUUGAUCUCUUGAAGUGAUUAUAUUGCUACAAUUGGCAAGGCUCGCUGCAGGCAUAUUGGGCAAAAAAAAAAAAGAAAAAAACAGGAAAAGAAGCUGCAGGCAUAGUAUGAACUUUUUAUGUUCUUUAGCACAUAAAUUGAAUUCAAUGUUCUAGCAGCAAGGCCCUCACGCACAAAGUGAUAGUGAAGAGUGAUAUGCUUUUUGUGUAAGUGAAUUUUAGGGUUCGCAGCCAUAUAUGUGCCUGCCAGUGCCAGAUUGUCACAGUUAAUCAAAACUGGUAGAGUAACUGAAAUAUGAAGCUCACGAAGAAGUCCCAAAAGCCAAGAUGAAACAAUUACAAAAUAUGAUUGAAAUCAUAUUUAACUAAGGUCUUUAACACGACUUAGCAAACCAGCAUGAAACAAAUAACCCAAUACAUGGAAGCAAGCAUGACAUGCAACAACAGUUUAUUAUAUUACAAACAAACAAAUUCAGAAAAAUAACACAAAAACAAAUACAAAGUAGUCCAAGCAAAUUUUAUUGAUCAGCGUCGAAAAGUAGGCGAUUUGUACCUAGGAAGGUUGCUUCCCCUGAGUUACCAUUGAUCAGUCCUCAAGUUCUUCAAGAAUAUUUUCUGGCGGUUCAGUUUCACCUUGCGAAUGCGAGGACAGCAUGCUGAAAUUUUUGGCAUUGGAUCUGAUGUUAACUCCAGGGAAUCGUCCGGAUCCUUUAUUGACAAGGAUUCUAGGUGCUGAAAUGUGGUUGGAAGUUGGAAGAUUGCAAGGAACUCAUCAAGCUUGCUCUGAUCAGGUAUUUAUAUUACCAAUCUUCUGAGAUUUGGCAGUGUGGUCAAAUCCUUCACAUCUGCUUUUGAUGCAGGAAAGUUUUUUAGGGUCUGCAGGUCAUUGAGGUUAGCAAAUUUCAAACACUCGGUAUCUGAUCCACAGUCAGCAGGAAGAUACAAAUGCCUUAAUUUCCUCAACUUCCAAAUCACGUUCGGAAUUUUUGUAGCUGAAUAAUAUGGAUCUAAGUUGAGGGACAAUAAAAACUGCAAGUUGCCUAUAGACGAAGAAAGCACUCCUAUAUAAGCAGAAUUUACAGUCAAAAGCCUCAAAUGGAUCAAACCUCCUAUUUUUUUGGGUACUGCAAAGCCUCUAAUGUCUUCAAGAUCUAAGACCCUAAGCAACUUAAACCUGCUGACCAUGGAAUCAAUUAGCUCCUGACCUAUUCCGCUGUUGUCAUGCCGGCAUCCUAAUGCAGACCUAAUGGGAGGACAGUCUUCGGUGCCUAUAGGAAUGGCACCGCUAAAUUGUUUCAAAUAAAUGGAAACUCUGCGUAUCCUAUUGGCUGAAAUUGGUCUGCUUACAAUGGAAGAGAAGAAAUCCAUUUGUCUGUUGCUGUUACAAAGUUCUGUGGUGUGAAAGAAAUCACUCCUUCUAGCCUUUUCCAAACAUACUUCUCUGACCAGAUCAUGCAUGCGGCAACUCUUAAUCCUUCCGGUUGAUGAUCUUUUCUCCACUUGAACCAAAUACCUGUCCGCCAACAUUCUCAAGUAACCAUAUGCAACAUCCUCUAAUGUUUCCUCGUUCUCUCUUCCACUUGAUGAUUCAGCUGAUAUUAUGGCUUCUGCUGUUGGUAUAUGUUCUAGCCCAUGAUGAAUGUUCUAGAUUAUUCUAAUAAGUAAGUGAGGUGGCCGGAGCAUACUAGACAAUUCUAGCAUGUUAUCAAGUUGAUGGAAGAAGCUAGAGAGUACUAGCUUCCUUGGUUGCAAAUGGAAAAAUCCGUGCACAUGCUAGAGAAUUCUAGCAAAGUUCAAGUUGGUGGAAGAGUCUAGAAGAAUGGUGAGGAUUCCACCAACAUACAAGAUUAGUGUAGAUAAUUCUAGCUUAGGAAGGUAAUGGAAUUAUCUAGAUAUCUCUAGCAUGAUGUUUCCAUGCUUCUUUAAGGUUUCAUCCAUGCUUAUAAAAGGAGAAGGCAUCCACACCAUUUGUAUCAACCAACCAAUCAAGAGAGUAGUGAGUAGCAAAGGAUCAAGUCCAAAGCUAGAGUUCCACUCCAAGAGUGAGAGUGAGAGUGUUCCACUACAUAUUGUGAGUGAAGUUUAGUUCCACUCCAAGAGUGAGAGUGAGAGAGUUAGAGUGUUCUACUACAUAUUGUGAAUGAAGUUUAGUUCCACUCCAAGAGUGAGAGUGAGAGUGUUCCACUACACAUUGUGUGAGUGAAGUUUAGAAGGAUAGAAAGUGUGUGUUAUACUUUCAUGUAUCCAUCAAGCCUUGUCUUUGGCUUGGUAAGACCACUCUUGUUGUAUUCAUCUUUUUCAUAUAGUGAAGAUUGAUCCUGGUUUAGUGGACGUAGGCAUAAAUUGCCGAACCAUAUAAAAUUCUUGGUGUCCAUUUUCUACUUUACGUUUUGCAUUCUCUAUCUUGUAGUACCGACAUUCCUAACAAGUGGUAUUAGAGCCCGGUUGGCUCGUACUACAAGAUGGAAGCAAAGGAUCUGCAUGAGCCAAUUGAAGAAGAUGCCGCUAAGCCUGAGAGCAUGUCCGAUGCCGAAUGGAAGAAGAUGAAUUGCAAGGCAAUUGGCACAAUUAGACAAUGGGUGGACGAUUGUGUUUUUCAGCAUGUGUCUAAUGAAACCAAUGCCUGCGAGUUUUGGACGAAGCUUGAGUCCUUGUUCGAGAAGAAGACCCCAACCAAGAAAGCCUUCUUGAUCAAAAAGCUCAUCAAUGUGAAGUAUAAGGAUGGUUUAAGUGUAGCAGAACACUUGAACAAUUUCCAGAAUAUCAUCAACCAGUUGGCUACUAUGAACAUGACGAUUGAGGACGAGCUGCAAGCGCUAUUGCUACUUGGAUCCUUACCAGACAGUUGGGAGACCUUUAUGGUGAGUGUAAGUAACUCUACUUCUAAUGGUGUUCUUACUCUUGAUAAUGUUAAAAAUAACAUGCUCAAUGAAGAAACAAGGAGAAAGACUUCUGGCACAGAUAGCAGCCAAGUAUUUAUCGCAGAGAACCACGGAAGAAGCAAGAGUAGAGGACCUAGAGGUCAUGGCAGGAGUCCUAGCCAAUCCAAGUCGAGGUUCAGGGGUGCUUGCCAUCAUUGUGGCAAAUAAGGUCACAUGAAGAAGCAUUGUCAUAAAUGGAAAAAGGAACAAAGGGAUGGAAACAAUACUGCAGGUGUUGUGACUUACGGUGAAGAGCUUCUUUAAUGCAGACAAGCAAUGUUUUUCUGGCAAAGAAGUCUAUAAUUGCCUUUGCCAAUGACGAUGAUAGUUCUGAUCAGGGGGAGCCUGGUCAAGAGAAGUCUAAUCAAGAGGGUCUUGGUUAAUGAAUAGUUCGAUCAAUGGGAGUUUGGUCAAGAGGACCAAUCCUAUUUUCUGGUAUUCCUCCCUCAUGGACUGGAGGGGGAGAUUGUUGGUAUAUGGUCCAGCCCAUGAUGAAUGUUCUAGAUUAUUCUAGUAAGCAAGUGAGGUGGCCGGAGCAUGCUAGACAAUUCUAGCAUGUUAUCAAGUUGAUGGAAGAAGCUAGAGAGUACUAGCUUCCUUGGUUGCAAAUGGAAAAAUCCAUGCACAUGCUAGAGAAUUCUAACAAAGUUCAAGUUGGUGGAAGAGUCUAGAAGAAUGGUGAGGAUUCCACCAACAUACAAGAUUAGUGUAGAUAAUUCUAGCUUAGAAAGGUAAUGGAAUUAUCUAGAUAUCUCUAGCAUGCUGUUUCCAUGCUUCUUUAAGGUUCCAUCCAUGCCUAUAAAAGGAGAAGGCAUCCAUACCAUUUGUAUCAACCAACCAAUCAAGAGAGUAGUGAGUAGCAAAGGAUCAAGUCCAAAGCUAGAGUUCCACUCCAAGAGUGAGAGUGAGAGUGUUCCACUACACAUUGUGUGAGUGAAGUUUAGAAGGAUAGAAAGUGUGUGUUAUACUUUUUUGUAUCCAUCAAGCCUUGUCUUUGGCUUGGUAAGACCACUCUUGUUGUAUUCAACUUUUUCAUAUAGUGAAGAUUGAUCUUGGUUUGGUGGACGUAGGCAUAAAUUGCCGAACCACAUAAAAUUCUUGGGGUCCAUUUUCUACUUUACGUUGUGCAUUCUCUAUCUUGUAGUAUCGAUAUUCCUAACAUCUGCAACCCACAUAUUGAUUAGUCUCCUUGUUGGCAUCUCGAAAUCCUCUGAGAAUUGGCCUAAAUGAAGGAAGCAUGGUUUCAACUGAUAUGGCAAAUCAUCGUAACUUAGCGCUAACAGAUCCAUAGGUCCCAACGAAUCUUCAUUGCUGCCUAUGUAUUUUUUCAGCUGUGAUUUGAUGUUUUUAUGUACUGUCUCCCAUUCAUCAAUGUAAUCUUUUGAUGCCAAAACACCACCAAGAACCACAAUAGCAAAUGGCAGACCUUUACAAUGUGGUACCAUUUCAUUCCCUAGCUUUUUCUUGUUUCCCACAGUUAUAAAAGCGUUGUUCGAACUGCCAGGCCUCGUAGCUUGUUGAUGAUCUACGGUGCAACAAAGAUCAAACUAUAAGAGCCACAAACGGUACAUAGCUCAUGUGAAUGCUAUCAUGUAAAAUAUAUAAUUAUAUGAGUUGUUACAAUAUAUAUAUAUAUAUAUAUAUAUAUAUAUAUAUAUGAGCAAUUAGAAAUAAUUUUGUUAAUUCGUCAACGAGAAAUAACAAUAAUCUAAAGGAGCCAGACGUAAGUAAGGCCAUAGAGUAGAAUACUAUUAUACUGAAAUGUAAAGAAAGCAAUAAAACUCUAGCAAGAUUCAGGGGAUGAUUGAGAAAAUGCUAGAGGAGUCCACUGAGAUUAUUGUGUCAGACUAGAUUGAAGAGAAAACAUGUGUCUCAAAAAGAACUUUUUAGGGGUGGUUGGAAUUGCACGUUAACCAAAUCAUAUCACGAGGUGGAAUAUUUUUAUUUAUUUUUAAAUGGGUAGACGGGAGGGAGGAAGUCAACGACAGGGCUUCAAGGAUCACAGUUGAUGGUUAGAAACGAUGGUAGAGGUUGUGGAUCUCUUAACUUUUUUUUUUUUGGUGCUUAAUUUUUUUUAGAGUAGGUAAAUUUGGAUUUUAAAAGAUAAAAAUAAUAUUUGUUAAAAAAAAAGAUAAAAAUAAUAGGGGCAUUUAGAUUUCGAUCCAAAAAAUCAAUGUGCUAGGUUAAGUUCAGUAUAAUUUUUUCUUCAUUUUUAUUUUUUUAAUACUCAUUUUACAUUUUUAAAAAUAUUAGAGAUAUUUAAAAUCUUCUAGUUUCAUUCAUCUUUGUUUGUAUUUUUGAAAUUUGAAUUGUUUUUUGUCAAUUGAAUUUUGAUUAUUUGAAAAUUGGUUUAUUUUUAAUAUACCUAACAUCUUCUAACAAAAAACUAAUAUACUAACAUAAACAUGCGACCUCACUCAAGGAACAAAUAUAUAAAUGGAUAAUAUACCUAUAAGCAAGAUAUGAAGCAUAACUAAAAUGUGCAAAAAUAUAAUGUACCUCAAGCAAGAUACAUUAAUUUGUGAUACAUGUUGAUCUUAAAAAAAAUCUCUUAUAUAAUUAGAUAAAUACAAUUAACUUGUAAUAUAGUUGAUUAUAAAAACUAAAAAUAAAAGAUAUGAAUGGGGUUGAGAGGAGGAAGAAGAAGAAAUAACGUAUAUGAAUGGGGUUCAAACGAGGAGGAAGGAGAAGAAAUAACAAAAGCAAAAAGAAAUAAGAGAAAUAAUUAAAGAGAUAAUUAGGAAUGGAUUUAAUUCCUAUACUAAAUUUUAAGAGAUAAUUAUUGAUAAUAUAAUAGUCCUAAACUCAAAGGAUGGGACCUAUUUUAAUCAAAUGGACUAUUCCAAAUAUUGACUAAAAAAAUUGAACUUAUAUCAAGUUUUUCCAAAAAAAAAAAAAGAAGAGAGAAUAAUAGGGUGAACGGUAUGUACAUAGAAAAAAUCAUGCAAAAUUAACGUAGCUAUACAUUAACAGAGCUUAUGUACCUAAAAUUAAUGUAGGACAGUAAUUUGUAUUCCCAUGCUUAAUGAUCAUGCUAGGGUGAGAAGUUGGCGUUACCUGCAUGUUCAAAUACUACCUUCUGAAACAGUUCCCAGGCGGCAUCUUCGCUUAGACAAGCUGGUUCGUAGAGGAAACCUUUCGGAUCCGCACGAUAUGCUACAUCUUUGUUGCGAGAUGUGAGUAACAUUUUUGUUUCCGCUUUAACAUUGUACGCUGGAAAACCAGAACUUAGCGCUGUCAACGUAUUAGCAUCCCAGAUGUCAUCAAGAACCACCAAGCAUCUCUCUUGUAUAAGUAGAUCAUAAAGCUCUGUACUUAUCUCAUGAUCUUUCUUCUCUCUCUUUUCUUCUUUCUUCUCUUUACUCUUUUUUUUCUUCUCUUUACUCUCUUUUUCCUUCUCUUCAUUCUCUCUUUUCUUCUCUUCAAUCUCUUCGUCCUUCUCUUCGUUCUCUUUUUUCUUCUCUUCGUUAAUUUUGAACAGAAUUUCCUCCCAAAUUUCUCUUGCUUGACAUUUUUGAGAGACGUACACCCAAACGAAAUAACGAAAAUGACCCCUAACCUUAUCGUGAUGGUAAACCUUCUUAGCAAGAGUGGUCUUCCCCAGACCUCCCAUACCACAUAUCGAAACAAAUCGACUGCUUCCUUGUCUUACAAGUUGAGACGACAGCCUAUCCGCAUCUUCCCCCAAUCCCACAAAAUUUCUCUGAUCAUCCUCGCGAGAAUAAGUGCGGCGUAAUGUCUUGAGGCCAUUUUCGGAAGAGCUCGAGACCUCUUCUACUUGUCUCUUUAUGCCAAACGUUUCUAAAUUCUGCGUCAACUGAGCAAUGUGAGCCUUGAUGUCCUCAAUCUUUGACACAACGUCCUUCAGCAGGUUUACUCUUGUGCAACAAUUCAGAAAUGACGAGAAAUCUCGGGGGAUAUUCUUGGGGCUUUACUUUGUCGUAAAACGUAUCGAUAACAUCUUCCGCAUCAUAAGCAGCAUCUCUGACUUGAGCAAAGAACGGACGUACAGUAUCAUUUCCUUCUUGUCUUGAAUCUGAAUCUUUUAGGAAGCUCCGCAUCUGCUCUAGCUCUUUCUGCAACAGCUUAACUUGUUUGGGGAUCUUGAUCAAGUUGUUGGCUUCUUCCCUGAGCAUAUCAUCGAGCCUUUCCAAAAGAAAAGUGACAACGUUUUCAGCCAUAUUUCACUUUGCUGAUCAAAGCAGUAAAAGGUUAAUUACUUCCUUUUUCGCUCUUUUUCACUGAAGUAUUUUGUGUCUACUUCUUUUGGCAGAAAAUAAGUUGAGUUUGUCUCUAUUUAUACAAGUUCGGUAUAGGCUGUUCGCAUCAGCCAGUCACAAGUUGAUGCUAACUUUGGGUUUAAUUCUUCAAUGUAUUCUUCUCACAAAGGAGGUAAGAUACAUAUUCCAACUUUUAACUUACAAGGCAAGAAUUUGCCAAAGGCGAAUUGGAACCACAUUAUUGCUACUUUGGGUUUAAUUCUUCAAUGUAUUCUUCACACAAAGGAGGCAAGAUACAUAUUCCAACUUUAACUUACACGGCAAGAAUAAAUAAUGAAAGGAAAACAAAUAAAAAGGACUUCAAAUCUUUGCAUUUUAAUAAAAAAUCGUAUACUAACUUUAUUUAAUGAUAAGGACAAAAAAAGAAAAAAAAAAAAAAAAAAAACAUAAAAACCGAACUUGCGUUGGGUGCUCCCCCCUCCCCCCAAAUCCCCUCUUUCCACACUCCAUCUUUUCUCUCAUUAUCAGCUAUAUUAAUAGAUCUCUUUUUUACUUUUUUUUUCUUAGAAUAAGAAAAGUACUUCAAAUUGAAUUACAUUUUCCAGUUUUAUUUGUGUGGUGUUGUUUCCCAAUAGUAGUCAUGAUGAUGAAAAAAAUUUCAAUGUGCCCAGAACACGAGGUGGUAUACCACGUGUUUCUAUACAAAUUGUGAGAUUCUUCAGUUAAAAAAUUAAUAACAUAAAAAGUAAAAUUUUCCACCAUUUACAAAAUAACAUGUGGUAUACUAUUUGUGUUACGGGCACAGGAAAAAUUUCUUUAAGAUGACACCCAAGCUCAAGAAACUGGAUGAAGAGCUACAUUUAUUAUUGUAGGUAUGUAAAAACUGUGAGGAAAUUUUAAUUUGGUAAUUGAAAACAACUUUUAAAAUAUAAUUACUAAGAACAUAAUCUUUUCAAAGUUUUGAUCUAAAGGGUCACUUCUGGGUUCAUUGUUUUCGACGCAAUGAGUGUUUAUACAGGAUAAAAAAGGAUCUAAGUUUCAAACCUUAUGAAACUAAACAUAGAAUUAAGCACUAUUUAUAAAACUUGACUAAUAAGUAGACUCCAUUCAUGAAACUAGAUCAAUAAGUAGACACUAUUUAUAAAACUUGACCAAUAAGUGGACACUAUUUAUGAAACAAAAACAAGAAUUAGGCAUUAUUUCCAAAACUAAACGUGGAAACUAUUUAUGAAACUGGACUAUACACUAUUUAUGAAACUGGAGUAAGAACUAGACAAUAUUUAUGAAAUGACCAAGAACUAGACACUAUUUAUGAAAGUGGGCAAAUAACUAAACACUAUUUUAUGAAAUUGGACCAAAAAAGAGGCACUAUUUAUGAAACAGGACCCAAUAGCUAGGCACUAUUUAUGAAACAUGACUGAAAACUAGAUAUUAUUUAUUAAAGUGGACAAAAAACUAGGUAUUAUUUAUGAAAUUGGACAAUAAAUAGUAUAGUACUGUUCAAUUUCAUAAAUAGUGCAGUUUCAUAAAUAGCGUUCAAUUUCAUAAAUAAUGUUUAGUUUCAUAAACAGUGUACAGGACCCCACGCAUCAAUUUUUUUUUUAUAUUUUAAAUUGUGUCAUUUUCAUUAAAAUUUAAGUUCUUUUGUCAUUUUUAUUCAAAUUUAAGGGGUUUUCAUUAAACAUUAAUUCUUUUUCAUUAAAUAAAGUUAUAGCAUGGUUUUUGGUUAAAAUAAACUUAGCUCAAGCCCUUUUCAUGUAAGUUCCCAAUAACAAAUCCAAACCUAAUUAUAAGGAAUCAAAUAGGGAAAUCUUGCUUAUUACACCAAAGGUCAAGUUAUGCCAACAACUCACGCCAACACUCGCCGACCCCUCAAGUUGGUACAUAAAUGUUGUUGAUGUCCAACUUGUCAAGUGAGUUGUAGAAUGCUUGACUUGCACCUGCCUUUGUUAAAACAUUUGUCAGUUAGUCUUCUGGUCCCACGAAUGGAAAUUGAAUGAUAUUCGUGUCUAACUUCUCCUUAAUAAAAUACAUACCCACUUCAAAAUGUUUGGUUCAAUCAUGCUGAAUUGGAUUAUGUGAAAUAUCAAUGGCAGCUUUGUUAUCACAAAACAAAUUUGUUGCAGGCAUCAGCCAGAUACCCAAGUUCUAUAAGCAACCACCAAAGCCACAAUAACUCACACAAUCCUUUUGCCAUAUACUCCGCUUUUGCACUUGACAGAGCUACCACUUUCUGUUGCUUACUCUGCCAAGUUAUCAAAUUGCCUCCCACAAACGUAAAGCACGCAGAAGUAGAUCGCCUAUCAAUGAUAUUUCCUACCCAAUCUACAUCAGUAUAACCAUCCACUUUCAAGUGUCCAUUCUUAGAAAACACGAUACCUCUACUUGGUGUUGAUUUCAAGUAAUGAAGUAUCCUAUCAACUGCAUUCAAGUAGUCUAUACUAGACCUAUCAGUUUCUUACACGACACGAAAAUAACGGGUUUUGAGUCAACACGAUAACUAAUCUGGUCAUUAUCGGGUGACCCGUUAAGAACCCGUUUAUAACAGGUUGUUAACAGGUAUACAGGCGGGUAACACGUGGGUAACCCAUUUUGACCCGUUAAGAAAAAUAAAUUAUAUUUUAAAGUAUAAUUACUAAAAAAUUUAUUAUAAAAAUACAAUAGCCAUAUUGUAUAUAUUGGUAUAUUCUAUAUUAAAUAUAUUUUUUUGUAUUAUUAUUCUAUAUAAGUUUAAAAAAAUUAAGUGUUAUUCAUUUAUUUAUUUUUAUUAUGAGAGUUUCUUAUUAUCAUUAAUAGGAUAAAUUUUACUUAAUAUGUUGUUGUCCAAAAUUAAAAUCAACUAGUAUAGUAUUAGUAUAGGCAAUAAGACAUCCCUACAAGUAUGAAAAAUGUGAAAGAAUAUAUAAACACUCAUGAUUCAUCAUUCCUCCACGAGUAGACAAUGGUUACACUUACAUUAUCGUUUAGAUUUUUAAAACCCUCCAAACCGUCAUGAAUAGUGUUUUUAUUUCAGUGUAAAAGCAUGGUCUAAAAUAUCCAUAAUAUCCCGAAAUUUCCAUCGAAAUUUCCGUGUUUUUGGACUACCGAUAUUUUCGAUAUCAUUGAUAUUUUAGACCUUACUAAGUCACUCAUGUAUCUUACCAUGCAAUGUAUAAAGUAAAAAUAUUGUACUAAUUCAUUAUAUAUAAAUGAUUAUGGUGUGUUUAAACUUCUUUCAUUAAUUACUACAUAUUUUCUACACUCACAAUGUUUGCUAGCUCGCUAUAUAAUCAACUUAUGCAAUGCAUUUCAUUCCAAUUUUUUGUGAUAAACUAAUAGAUAAUUGACUAAAUAAACAUCCUGCAAAGUUUCAAUAAAAAUUUACAAGUUUUUCUUACAAUUUCUGUGGUUUUUAUUCAAUUUUUAUCGAUAUCGAUAAUAUCCCGAUAUUUCCAUCGAAAUUUCCGUGUUUUUGGACUACCGAUAUUUCCGAUAUCAUCGAUAUUUAAUACCUUGUGUAAAAGUAAUAAAAUUAAUAAUAAUUAUUGUAGAAGUGUAAGAAAUGUUAAAAUAUAUAUACAUACACAAUCACUCGUAGUGAUAAGCUUUAAAACUUUCGUGAAGGGGUCAACUUCGAAAUCCGACAAUAUAAUCCAUAAACCUUAAAUUUGUAUUUAACAAUCGAUUGUCUUUUAGGCUUUAUUCUUUAUAUUGAAUUUCAUUUUUAAAAUUUCAUUUUUUGAAAACAUGAUCUUCUGGGGGAUGUAGGAAAAUGAACAGUUCGAAUCUUUCAUAUCAUGUGCCCAUAUUUACAGUUAAUUAAAAUAUAUUUUCCUUAAUGAGUAACGAGUCAGGUCAUAUUACCUAUUAAUUAUCAGAUUGAUUUUGGGUUAGGUCAUUUUACCUGUUUAUUUUAACGGGUAUUAUACGAUACGACCCGUUAAAAUAUCGGGUAUGACACGAACAUAGAAAACAUAACACGAAUGCCAAGUCUGGUUUAUACUCUGAAAGUGUAUAAACUGGCUAACAAUACUCACCAUAAAUGUAAUGUCUGCUCUAGUAUGAUACAAGUAGAUUAACCAUCUAACCAACCUCUAGUAACGGUCCUUGUUUGUUGGAGUCUGAUCAGGAUACACGGCAAGGUGAUGAUUUUAGAUAUGGGGGUGUCGACAAGUUUGCAAUCAAGCAUCCUUGUUUCUGCUAACAAGUCUAAAACAUAUUUCAUUUGAGAUAGAAAUAUGCCCUGUCUCGAUCGAGCCACUUCUAUACUAAAAAAAUACUUACGCCCACCAAGAUCUUUUAUUUCAAACUCAGUCGUUAAGUAAUCUUUCAACCUUGAGAUUUCUUCCUUGUUAUCACCUGUGAAAAUUAUAUCAUCUACAUAAAUAAUGAGUACUGUUAGCUUACCCAUUGUGGAUCAUGAUUUUCUAGGGCUGGAGUAAGGCUGAUUGGAAUACAUCUACCUUAGAAAUUUGAUCAUGAAAUCAACAGCUCAGAGCAGAGCUGGUUUAACCGAGCAGUGGUGCCACCAUCAUCUUGUUUAGGGGUAACAGGCGAAGUCUGAGCGAAUUCUUCGAAGAAUGUUUUUAGGUCUAAGUCGAAUUGAUACUGGGAAAGAGUGGCAUCAACUAGAAGACCAAAUUGAGAGGUGCCGAGUAUGACCGUUAUGUCUAGCACAAUUGGACUAAUAGGGCCGAGGGGUAGUACCAUGGUGUUGGUGGCCGAACACUAGAAACUCAGAGCUACCAUUAGAAGUUCCCAAUCCAUGUUGAUCUCGAUGGUCGAGAACUUGAUGGCGUUGAAAAUGCCAAGAGUUUUCCAUACCUUGUCGAAGAAUUUUCCAUUCGGUUGACCCAAGUAGCCUAGGUUGUAGGAGUUAAAGGUCAAGCUCCUUAGGGGUUAGUUGAUUCCUACUUCGACCAAUCAUACUCUUGGAAUAAGGGUUUUAGGCAGUGAACCUUUAACAUUUCGGUGAUGGUUUCUAGGACGUUGUCUUAAAAAAAUGGUCCAGAAUUUGAUGAGAGGCGAUUGAAUCUCCCUCAAAUUGGAGAGUCUUAAUGGAAUUUUGAUCGAUAAAGUCAUAACAUUUAUCGCAUUCUUCGAUGAGCUUGGUAAUGAAAGUGUUGGGGGCCAUUGAAACAGAAGUUUAAAGGUUUUCUAGGUUUCAAAGUUUGGUUUUUCUUUCUGGGUUGAGAGCAAAAUAACAAGAGUUUCUGGAGGUUUAGAAGCGUAAGAUUCAAAUGAGGCUGGACAGAGUAUUUAUAGGCAAUUGGGGAAGAAGAUUAACGGUUUUGAAUUCAAGAGAUGAUGGGUAAAUUUGAAUGAGAAAUUUUGCAAUCAUGACGGAUCUUUAAAAUCCAUGUGAAGAGGCCGAAAAGAACUUGAAUCAAGGUUACACGAUUGCAUGUGACAACGAGGUUUAUGACGAAGAGACAUUUCAGCGUCUGCACGCCUUGAUUGUGAGGGCAGCAUCAUUGAAGUUAGACAGCCGCAACGAGAGGCUGCCACAUGUCAAAUUUUACAACGUUCAAGGACUGACAGGCAAGGUGGGAGAUUGUGCUAAAUAAGUGCAUCUGGGUGGAUGGAAUAUUUGAGAUUUGUAAGGAUUUUUGGUCGACUUAAAGGAGUAUGCUAAAGUUUUAUUCUUUGUUUAAUAAUGGAUCACUUCUUCAAGAUCAAAAUUCGGCCAAGUACUGUAAGCUGAAGACUUCAGAAGCAAGGGGAUAAUGUUUGGGCUCGAAAUAACAUUUUGGGCUGAGCUCGAUUUUUUUUUCGACCCAGUAAGAAGCAUCGGGAAUAUUGUUAUGAGUCGAGCUUAAUAGGGCUUGUUUAAGUCAUUUAAGGAGAUGGUUCAUUAAAGAGCUUGGUUCAAAGUCCUAUAGGGGUUAGGAUUGGUCGAGACCAAAUCAUAUUGGGUUGAGGAGUUCUAAUCCGAGUGAAAUUCUACUUUGGCCAUAGAGGAAAUCACUACUAUAAAUAGAGAGGGGAAUGCAUUAUUCUAGGCCCCCAUCCAAUACAACACACAAAUUACCCUGUGCAAAGCUUCUCAACAACCUUGAGAUUUUUACUUUUCUUUUUCCCACCAACAUAUCUUUAGUUUGGAUAAACAGCAUUGUGAAGGCAACUAGUGACAUCUUUAGUUUGGACAAACAACACUGAAGUCAUAGAUCCAAUUGACCAAGGAGCACAUUUACUUUGGAUAAGCAGCAGUGCUUUGAGACCAAUUGGUUGUUACCCAAGUCUCGAUCAAUAAGGAAUUUCGAGUCCUUGUUGGAAUAGGUCAUCUCAUCAGCCUUCUUUGCGAAGUGAGGCAUUACCAAGCUCAGCACAUUGAAAAUCGAGUUUAUUUUAUGAUUGGAUAUUCGCAAGUACAUUUAUCUUUUUUGAGUAUUUGUGUCCGUACAGUUUGGUAUUGGUUUGGCGUACUUAUACUUUUACGAAUAUAAUUACCGAGACCAAACCUAGUGCUGACAAUUUGUGAACUUCAAAGAAACUAGUAUCCCUGUCUUCAGGCUCUAGAACUCAAAAAGACCGAGAUGAGUUCCUUCCUCGGUUGCAAUCGCAAGACGCAAAAGUCAGCAGCACACCCAAAGCCACAUCAACAUAUUUCACUCUCGGCUGAGCUUGGCCGACGAGUUGGCAUGCCCUGCACACAACCGAAGGCUGUAGUUAGCUUAUUAAUUACUCGGCCUACAUGUCAUGUAGGUUUGAUAGUUUUUAGGGUCAACACACCCAAACGAGAACAAAGUUUUGAACAUCAAUCUUUCAGAUUUGGGACUAAAAGGUCAGUUUCCUCAAGGCUUAUUUAACUGCUCAAGCUUAAUUAGCCUAGAUAUUUCCAGCAACAAGCUCAGUGGACCUCUUCCUGAAGAUGUUCGUAGAAUCCUUGCACUUAUUAUGUCUCUUAAACUCUCAUUGAACAGCUUCAUGGGGAAAAUCCCUUUGAGUCUUCCGAAUAGUAGCUAGCUGAAUGUGCUUAAGCUUGAAAACUGAGUUCUCGGGUGAAAUUCCCGCACAACUUGCCCAUCUCAAAAGGCUUAAAAAAUUUAGUACGGCCAACAAUCGUCUAUCCGGUCCAGUCCCAAAUUUUGGCGGUUUUGUCUCAUUCAAACCCAAAUUGUGGUAAAGCCAAAGAAAAUGUUGCUUCUCAUACUUCACUCUCUUCAGUCGAGCUUUCCUCAGUCAGCACAGUGGACUCAACCUCUUUGAGUGCUAAAUCAAGAUCCCACAAUCCCAGUAUGAUCUCAAUGUCUUGUCUCCGAUUCUUGUAAUUUCCUCCCAUGGUUCAAUGGAGGAAAAUUGGGCGACAGAGUGUUCACUCAACUAUGCAUGUUUAUAUCACCCUUUUGAGCAAGAGAUAUAAAUUGCCUUUAAUCAUUAUUGCAUAGCCAUACUACAAUGAUCUUAUCAUGCAAUAAUUUUAAGUCUUUGGAUAAGAAUAUAGCCUGAUCAACAGGAUGCCAUACACUGAUUUAAAACUCCUAAAAAUUUAUACACCCUUUUCCUUAAAAAAGAAUGUGAACAUCUUAUGAGUUUUGAACCACAAUAUGAGUUAAUGAUUAGUAUUCCAUUCUUUUAAAAUCUUUGAUGAUAAACAUAUUGUAAAUGACCAAAAUACUUUUCACCUUUCUGUAAAGCAAACUAUCAAAUAACAACAAAAAAGAUAAGGCCUUAAAUGACAGGUUUAUCAACAUAUAAGAUUCAUGUAAUAAUUAAAACAUUUUAUUAACAUACGUCGAUGCAUUUAUGCAGCAUAAGUAUGCAUUUGAUUUAGGGUCUGUUAAUUUGGCUCUAAGACCAAAUGUUGGGACUAACCUAAGAAUUAACAUUUAAACCUAAAUUAUAAUGUGAUAUACAGAACAGGAAGGCUUACUUGUCGAAGACAUCGUGGUUAUCAAAAGAACUGUUCUACUCACUAAAGCCCCUUAUGCUCUUAUGGUGAUAGAAUUCUAGACUUGGAACCGAUGUUUUGUAAGUACGGAAUCCCUUUUAUUUAGUGAUUACAGGCAGCCAACUUCCAUCUAUCAUGGGUGGGUUAGUUAUCGUCCCAUAUCAUCACAACCUAUAAGUUAUUGAGUAGUGGAGGAAUGGUUUGUAUUCAAAGCAUUUGAAUGUACUUCCAUAAUUAUAUUAUUCCUAGUAUAUAACUCAUUGAUGAAUUUAAAUUUAUUUUUAUUAGCAUAUAUCUUAGUCCUUAUCACAAUAAGUCGAGUCCACAUAAGAUUCUUACAGCCUUGCCAGUAGAAGCGUAGUACUAUGGUCAACGAUUGGAAGUCAGUCAAAAAUGUAGUUAUAGCAGCAGCAGCAGCUGGUUUCGGUUUUCCUUUUUGUUUUUUUCCCUCUGUUUUUCCCUCUGAGCUCUAGCAGUGUGCUUUAUUUAUGGUGUCUGACGAAGAUUUAACUCGAAAUAAAUCUGAUCAAUAUUUUGUCUCAAAUCGUUCAUGCAAAUAACUUGAAAAUUAUGCACAUGAUUGAUCUCGUAAACUUUGUACAUGAUUGAUCUCGUAAACUUUGCAAAUUUUACAAAACAUAGAUUGUCUAUUUUUUUUUUUUUGGUUGGAAAAAACAAGCAUUGUCGGACUAUUAGUUCCUUGAAUUGCACAAAAAAGGGAACAAUAUUUAUAUUUUGGAUCCUGACUAGCAAGAACUCUAUAUGCAUACCCAAAGGCAUAAAACACGUCCUUUUUUUUUUUUUAAGACACCAAAAGUAACCUAGUUGUGUACCUGAAUACUAGUUUUGCAAUGAGCUCAUCGAUGUUUUUAUCAGAACUUCCACCUUCAUCCACUACCGUUGUAGCCAACAUUUUCCACUUCAAAGCGUUAAUUCGAAUUUCUGUUCCUCUGUCUCCUUCCAAUACUUCCCUCAUACAAUGUGAUAUUUCUUCUUGUCUCAUUAUUCAAUUCUCAUCAGCUGAAGCUGUAAGCCGAAUUUUCCAAACAUCCAUAAUAAACCUGACAUUGGUGCUUUGGUCAAUCAUUGCGGCACUACCACCAUUGGAACACCCAAACUCAAAGCCUCCAAAGCAGAAUUCCAUGUGUCACAUAGCAUCCCAGGGCCUUAUGUGCUAAAACCUCCAAUUGGUGGCACCACAAGAACAAGGAUGUUGUGUCGUCUUAAUGAGGAUAAAGUGAAGCCUUCGAGUACUCUUAUGAUUGUUCAAUUGCUAGAUGCUAAACGAGAUCAUUUCUGUCCUAAAGAGAAUGAGGAAGGGAUUCUGGAGCUUGAAGUUCCUUACCUAAGUGCGAUCAACGCUUUAUUGUACUUAGCUCAAUGCACCAGGUAUCUCCUUUGCUAUCAAUCUUUUGGCAAGAUACAGCCACACGGCCUCAUGUAAACACUGGACAGGUGUUAAAGACAUCUUCCGCUACCUCAAAGGUAUGAUGGAUUUGGGUUUGUUCUAUCCCUAUGAAUCCUUGAAAAGUGCCACCGCCCCCCUCAAUUCUCGGGUUGAUUCCCGUCUUGUUGAUUAUGCUGACAUAGGGUACUUAUACGACCCGCACAAGGCACGUUCUCAAACGGGUUACAUUUUUAUCGAUGGAGGCGCCACAAUUUCUUGUAGGUUAACCAAACAAACCUUAGUUGCAACUUCUUUGAACCAUGUUGAAAUCCUCCCCAACAUGAAGCUACUUGAAAGUGCUUUUGGUUGAGAACAGUUAUGGAACACAAUCGAAACACUUGAAGAUUUUCUUUCGUCAUUGACGUCCCUACAACGAUGAUAAUGCAGCAUGUCUUGAACAACUCAAGAAUGAAUACAUCAAAGGAGACAAUAUCAAACAGCACACUGAAGUUCUUUUUCUCUCAUUAGCAACAAAAGCAUCGGAAGAUUGAAGUGAAGCAAAUUCGUUCUCAGGACAACCUGGCUGACCUCUUCACCAGAUCAAUGUUGAAGACUACUUUCCAUAAGCUUGUUCAAGGAUUGGCAUCCGUAAACUUUUGUGUUGUAAAAUUGUUAGUUUUCUUUGAAAUUAUGUCAAACUCAAGGGGACUAUUCUAAGGUGUACUCUCUUGAUCUUAAUGUAAUUUUUUUCCCUAUGAUUUGGAGCAUUUUUCCCUUCUGAGUUUUUGCUACCUAGUGAGGUUUUAAUGAGGCACCCAUCUUGAGCUGGUUAUAUCCUUGUGUAUAUCCCAUUGACGUUUAAAUUGGCUUUGCAUUGUCUCACCUUUUUCCUUAGACUUAGGAUUUUGUCCUAUAUUUGGUUUUACCAUGACCGGGUUUUGUGAGACUUAUUUCCAUAUGCAAGUUCCCUUCUUUUAAGACUAGUGUGUUCCUUAACUUUAUCUGCUGACGAUCUACACACAAGUGUUAUAGAUAUUCUUUAAUUGUGAUUUUAUAUAUCUUAGAUAGAUUUGUUUUCUAGAUUAUCUAUCACUAUAGUUAUUUUUCCCUAUAAGAUUAUAUUUAGUGGGAGAACAAGUUAAUCAUCUCCUUUUAUUUUACUAUAAACAAAGGCACUGCUUAAGAAGAUAUACACACAAGAAUAUUUAAGCAUUCUACAAUCUUUCCACUCUCUCUAUUGCCACACCACCUCUCUUUCCCCCUGAGUUAAUUAUAAGCCACAACACAAAACUAAUUAAAAGCUUUUUUGGGGGGGUUGGGACUCUUCAAAUUCCUACACAAAACUAAUUAAGGAAAAAAAAUUACGAUCUUUCUCUCUCUUAAACUUUCACGUUCUAUGUCUCUCGUUUUUCACAGAUCUCUCGUUGCCUCAUCUCUCUCGCUUUGUCGUCCAUAUUUCGUUCGCGAACAAUUCAGAAUUUGUGCUUCCUUUCCUUCGAAAAGGUAUGUCGUUUUUUCUUCCCCUUUUAAUUCUCAUCUUUAGUUUAGGUUGCUGAUGCAUAAACCCAUCAGUUUUUGUGUAAUUCUUUUACGUUUUCAUUAUUCUUCUUCAAUUUGUUCUGUUAAAAUUGAAAUGGAAUUUGUUGGCUUGAUUUGGUAUUAGGUUGCUAGUGGGUUAUGUUUUUAGGGUUCUGCAUCCGUCUCAUUCCUUCUCCCUAUCUGCUUCCCUUCUUCAAUCAGGUUGGGGUGGUUUUGCAAUUUAGCGUUCAAUGCAAUUCAAUCUUUUUACUGGAAUAUACAUACAUAUGUGAGUGUCUAUAUAUAUAUAUAUAUAUAUAUGUCUAAAUUUGUUCACUUUUUCUGGGGUGCUUUAAUGAAAAGGAUUUCUCUAAACUUUUUAUUAAUAAAAAAUCAUCCACUAAUUUUAUUUAAUAAUGAGGACUUAAGCUUUAAUAAAAAUGGCUUGCCACUUAGUACUACGGUCUAGUGGUAUUCCUCUUCACUUGUAAGUGAGAGGUCUUAGGUUCAAUUCUCGCCAAAGGCGAAUUUGAAUCACAUUAUUGCUAACUCAUUGUGAGGCUGAACCCACCCCUCCCCUUUAGUGUGGAUAAUAUUGUUUGUUAAAAUUUUGUUUUUAAUUAAAAUAACUUAAGUUCUAAUAUAAAGUACAAAAGUUUAACAUAAUAAUAAAAUAAAAUAAAAUAAAAAUAAAAUCUGACGCGUAGGUCACAUCAUUCACACAACACACACACACUUUUCCUCCCUCCUUGUCAUGCCCAGAUAUGAGGUCGGUGGAAAAAUAACCACGCGCCCGGCGUGCGAGUAAAAGUACAAAAUAAAACGAAAAACUAAACUUUUCUUAUAAAAAUAACUCAAAAAUCCUUACAAGAUGUACAAAAUAAAAUAAAAUUCUUACAUCUUUAGUCUAACGCAACCUUAGCUCGUCUACCCUUCUUUAAUCUUGUACCAAACUUGUAAGGUCUAAAAUGUGUAAGGUGAGCGAAACAACAGCUCAUUAAGGACAUAAAUCUUAUCAAGGAUAAUUAUCAAGGCUAAACCGAGUGUCAUGCUCACAUAAUCAACUAUAACAUAUUAUCACACAUAAAUUAUAUUCCAUGAAUGCAUCUUAACUUCAAUUACCCCAACCAGUUAAUCUAUAUAAUAAAACACGCGGACUUGAAUGUCCCAUACCAUGCAUUUUACCACUGCAUUUGGACCAAUGCAUGUCCCAUACCAUGCAAUUUACCACUGCAAAGGUGGUCCGAAUGCUCUAUUAUACAAACUAUUCCCCGUAUCUCAAUGAUCCCCAAAUUUCUCAUUUGUUGGCCAUCUUGUUCCUCUCGGUCGCUAGAGUCCCCACUACUUCACACCAUUCCUAUAGUUUUACUUUUGCCACCCUUGCUAGUCCCCAAGAGAGUUGAACCACACAAAAAAAUAUUUCCAUUUGCAUAACCUGAUCCCCUCCAAUAAGCAAUGACAUAUGCAUGUAAUCAGCAUCAUUCACAAUAUCCACAUUUUCAAUAAUAAUAUAAAUCAUAUUUCAAAUACACAAUUAUAUCAAUAAUGUUGAUGCACAAAAUCAGUGAGAACUUUGGUACAACAGAAAGUGUCAAGUUUGUGACCUUCGCUAGAUUGCUCCAGUCACUAGUGUGGAUAAGUAUGUAAAUGGAUAGAGACAGGGAAGCAAACACAAGAUACGUGGUUCACCCAGAUUGGCUACGUCCAUGGAGUAGAGGAGUUCUCAUUAAUUGUGAAGGGUUUACACAAGUACAUAGGUUCAAGCUCUCCUUUAGUGAGUACUAGUGAAUGAUUUAGUACAAAUGACAUUAGGGAUUAUUGUGGGAGAAUGAUCUCCUUUUAUAGAAGAGAGUUUCUAGCAUUGUUCUGACAUUGACACGUGUCAUGUUGUAAUUGGCCUCUGAUGUUGACACAUGUUGCGCUGUGAUUGGCUUCUGAUGUCGACACGUGUCGCGCUGUGAUUGGUCUCCUGGUUGGAGGGAAACUCUUCUGGAUCCUUAACGGUAUAACGUUGACCGGUACUCGGUAGUUUCGGAAUUGGUCAAGUAUGGUACAAACAAAUCACAUUUCACAAAGUUUAAACAAGACAAACACCACAAUAGUGAUAAAUCUCCCAACAAACCUCCUACCUCAAUUCCAAAACUAGAGCCUAACUUUAUGUUCCAACCCAAGCUUUACAAACAAGCUCCUAACACCAUGUCUUUCUGCCACUCUCUUUUCUUUUCUAAUCUCCCUCUCUAACAUAUAUAUCUAACACAUAUAAUAUAUAAUAUAAUACAAACCAACGUACUUUGCAUGAAAACUACAUGCAAUGUACAAGAUAUAAAGAUUUGGAAGAAUGGUACAAAUAAAAAUUAAAGAUUGGAUGCUAUUUAUAGUAGGCAAAGGUCGGCUAUAAGGGAAGAAAUAGAUAGAAAUGGAACACGUGGUUGAUGACUCAUGGAAUGUAAGGCCAUGUGGCAAUACAUGAUAAGGUGACUGACACAUCACAAGAUGAAUAAAGAUGGCUUAUAUGUGUCAAGCUUAAAGGAAUUGAGUGGGUGAAAGGCACCCAACCACAUGCAAUUGAUGAAACAUACACCUUAGUCAUCAGACGUAUGUGGUAUAGUGACUUUAGGACAUGGUGAGUCGACCGCUACGCAUAAAAAUAAAGUGAACAAUAGAAAAUAAAAUAUAAAUGGGCAAACAAUAUAAAGUCUCGUCUUGGCUAGGCAAUACUAGUAUAAAUUCAUGAUCUUACAAUCUACCCUCUUUAAAACAAAUUUCGUCCUCAAACUUUACUAAUUAAACUCAACUCUUUCUGUCAAGCCUAAUAAGCUUAAACUAAUGUUGUGUCACAGUUCCCAAGGAUGUCUACUAGCUGAGCUUUGAUACCAUUCUGUCACACCCGAGAUCUAAGGUCGGUGCAAAUAACCCCGCACCCAACGUGCGAGUAAAAAUACGAAAUAAAAUGAAAAAGCAAUUUUUUUCAAAGCACAGCAACACCAAACUAGCCCUCAAUACCAUGCACGCGCUCACACGUGUGCAUGAGAUAUUUUUUGAAUGACGACUUACACGUUUUAAAUGAAUAACAUUGACCAUAAUAGAAGAAACCCCUCAUAAACCAAUCAAAGCAGCUGAAUCCACAUAAUAAAAUCGAUCUUUCAAUUUCAAUCUACAUUCUAAUGAAGUUACAUUAAAAAUAGAGAAAAUAAUGUUUAAUAAAUAACUAAUUGAAUCACAUUAUUGCUAGCCCAUUGUGAGACACUAAUUAAAAAAAAACAUUGUACAGAAAAAAGUGAAAUAUUAGACACAUUGUUUAUCAAUGUAUAGUAAAUAGUUAAAUAUUAAAAACACUGUUUAUGUGACGAAAAUACCACUGUCAUAUUUGAUGCAUUAUUUUGAGGUGUUGUUGAAGUUUUUUGUUUGAGGGACAUUUCUAUCCAAUUUGUUUUGAUGAAGCCCAAAAAACCACUGUUCAAAAGCCUUGCCGGCUUUAUAUAUUUCUAUGCACACUGUAAACAAUUUAAAAUAAUUAACUUUUGUUACCAUAUUUUUCAUCCGCACAUACUAGACGUAGAACUUCGAGUUUUGACCAAUAUUACCAAACAACCAAUUGACCAUUUGGACUGGUCAUUGUACAUUUACCAUCCAUACGAAGCACUAAUUCACCACUCUUUUCUAAACCAACUGGCUUGAGUACACGUUCAAGUGGUCGAAGCGGUAGACACUACAAAAAAUAUGGGAACUGCAACAAUAAAUUAUCGGUGAUCUUUGAGGUUGAAGAGCACCAACAUAUGUGCUCAUAAACCAAUAGCAACAGUGCAGCAACUAUAUUUCUAUUUGUGCCCCCUAUGGGCGUUACCUUUUAUCAAAGAGCACAAUAAGGUAUGCUGUAAAAGUUUAAGCACAAAUAAAGGUCCUUUUGUACCCAAUUCUGACAAAGUUGUCAGAUGACUGCUGCCACCCAUGGUAGCACAUUUAUUGUUAUUGUGCCCAAUAUGUCAACUAUUUAAAAAUAAAAUAAAAUUAAGAACCAAAAUCACCUAUAAAUUAAGAUUGAGGCUAAACUAAAAAUUAUUUUUUCAUAAAAUUAAAACAGCCCACAACCACAAGCAGCUUCAAGCCAAGUAACUCUUUCCUCGAGAACCUAGAUAAAUUAGUAAACUAACAUUACAAGCAAAAAAGAUGUACAAAACAAUAAAAGUUUGGAUAAUCAUUUAGGUUAAGGUCAAAAGCAGUGAUAAAUCUCAAAACUAUGACAUUAAUUUCUAAGAAAGAUAGCCAGUGUCGGCAAAUACACAGAGAAACUACAAAGACCACUUGGAAAAAAAAAAUCAUAAAUGUUCAGAGAUGCAGCACAUACACUAUUCACAGAUCAAGCUUUAGAUCAGUGCAAGUAGAUGAGUAUACCUUUCUUUCCUCAGAUCUAUGAACUUUGAGAUCUCCGCAUAGAACCCAGUAUUGACAGCCUCUGCUUUGAUAGCCUCUGAAAAAAUGACCAUGAGUAAGAAAUAUACCGAGCAGUAAAACACAUGAUCAUAUUGGAUACCGCUGAAAAGGAUGGAACUAUAAAUUUAGACUACCAAGAAGCUCUUAAAACAUUAUUUACACAAAGCAACAAGAAAUGAGUAUGCAGUGGCUUCCAAAUUUUCAAAUUAUGAUUCUUUAUCUUUAUCUCAUGAUCUGUUUGUAUAUCCUUCCUCCCAUAGAUUAAUUGGUGUAAUUCUGCUAUGUAUACAUGCACUUGUUUGUGAUUGAAACAUAAAGACUUUUGCCUGACACUUUAGUAACAUUCUUACAUGGAUGGCAAGCAAUCCUCACACAAAUUUGGGCAUAAAAAUAGAAUUCAAAGUCCCAACGAUAUAAUUCUCACUCUUUCAAAUGUAAAGAACUAAAGAAAGAGAGAUGCAAAAUAUCUCAAAAUAUGCCAUUUCCUACAACAUAAAACAAACCCGAAUUUAAAGAACUUAGGAGAUUAGUAGUUGGUCUGGAGUUUAAUUGAUAGAACACAUAAGUGUAAAAAAAAAAAAAAAAAAGGUCGUACCCAGUGCACAAGGCUCCCGUUUUACGCAGGGUCUGGGAGAGGUGAAUGUCGGCUAGCCUUACCCCCAUUUAUGGAAAAAAAAAUUAUACACCUUGCGAUGGGCAUCAAAAUUAACUAUAAGAUAUCAUCAAAUUUUACCGUAAUCUAAAAGUGCAAAGCUUUAUAUAAGACCCAGGCCUGCAAAGGAAAGUAAUCCCAAACCACGUAAGCACACAUCAAGAAAAACCCGAACUUACAAAGCUACAAAAAGGUCUACCCAAACUUAAAAGAGAUUUGGUACAACUAUCAAGCCCCAAACCAUUACUGUGGAUGUUUACAAAUUUAAAAUGCAGCCCUUGUUCAAUAAUUAACACUCAAAAUUUAAUGUUUCGCAUGUUCCAGAUUUAAUGUAGUAUCGAAAAGGUAGUGCAAUAUCUUUAAUUUGGCAACUCAACAUAACAAAGUCAAAUAUAAUUGGGGAAAUAAAGAUAUGCAGAGAUGUACUGAGAGAGCGGAACAAUCCGAGACUUACACUUACAGAGUCAAAUCUCCUCUUCUUAGAAUUAAGAUGUACUACACCCAAAAAAUCAAUGACCUCAAAAAUGUUAAACUACAUAUUCAGAUUAUAAUAAAAUAAAUCUGAAAUCAGAAUUGCAAAAACAUAAACACUUAACCCAUAUUCCUUUCAAAGUUUCUUCAAAUUUGUCUCAGAUCCUAUUUCCUAUAACACCACAAAUGACUGAAUGAGUACAGAUAAAGGGGUUUUGCCCAUGGUGUUUGGUCUAUGCUACUCAUAUUUGAAGAAAGUAAAAUUAUCAAGAAGAAAUUUGACUCGGUAUAUAUGAGCUAAAAGAUUGUGCAAUCAUCCAUGUAAAUUUUCUGUAUUUGGAAACUCACCCUUUAACUCCAGGUUGUAAAGUCAAACUUUCCGACAUCAGAAACUCAUCCAUUGAAAUAUUCUGUCAAAAACAAAUAAGGAUUCUGAGUUUUAUUUAAGCUACUAAUGGAUUCUUAAGCUUUGCAAAGUCGUCCAAUGCAGCAUUACCUCAACGCAAUUUGCAUGUACGUACGUUUUCUCUCGUCGGGUUUGAACGGUUCAGAAACCUAUACUAGAACGAGUUCAACAUCAUCUUUUCGUUUGUGAACGAAAGUAGAGCUUUUCGUCAUACAAUUCCAUGACUUGCACAUUGCAGUGCAUUUUAGUAAAGAUUUGAUGGGCAACUUCAAGAAGAUUUUGUGUACAAUUUCUUCGGGAAGGAGGACUUAUGGUGACAGCCUUCUUGCGUACGAAUUUGCCCUAAUUUUCAAUGGAAGAAAGUAUAUCUAGUCCAAACCCUAUUCUCCUUCGACCAAAAAAACCCUAUUCUCGUUUUCUCGCCGGGAAUUCGGAAUUCUCCUUUUUUGGCUAGGAAACUACAAUAACGAGGAAAUACCAGCAAUAUUCAUUCUUCUCUAGCUGAUCAAUAAGUGAAAUUUAUGACCUCGUAGUCCGCACAGAUGCCAAUUUUUCAUUCAUCCUUCGCAUUAUUAGACCAGACAAAAGGAUUAAUUUCGAACUGGACAUUGUACAUCGCGAGACAUGGUGUAAUAUUGUUAACUUUAAAAAUAAAUUGAGAUUUCUUUAUUUAAUUAAUGGUAAUGAUAGGGAGACCAAAAUUUUAAAUUAAAUUUUGUAAACCAAAUGAUGUGAUUAUUGAUAAUUAGGUUAUUACUUAAGUAUUGAUUAACGUGCUUAUUUUCUAUUUAUGACACAUCAUUUAGUUUGCAAAUUUAGUCUCCCUUUAAUUAAUUAAUAGAUAAAUGUUAAGGAGACUCUCAAAAGUGGGACUCUUCAUGGAACACAGAUCAUCUCUGGAUCUGUGCAACUGGAGCCCAGGGAUCAAUGGAUCCAGACCAUUGAAAUUUGAUCCAACGGCUACAAAUUAGAUAAAUUAAUUUUGUUAUACAAUAUAUUUCGAUGUACUUUGUCUUCUUCAUUUAGCUACAUUAAAUUCAUUAUAACAUUUCGGUGCAUACAUUUAGGUACACACAUUUCGGUACAUACAUUUCAAUACAAACAUUUAGGUACAUUAAUUCAAUAUAAUACAUUUCGAUACAUACAUUUUGGUGCAUACAUUCUGGUACACAUAUGUAGGUACAUUAAUUUAAUAUAAUGCAUUUUGGUGCAUAUAUUUCAGUAGAUACAUUUCGGUACUAACAUUUAAAUACAUUAGUUUAAUAUAAUACAUUUUGAUACAUACAUUUAUGUACAUUAAUUGAGUCUUUCAAGUUUGAACAAUGUUAAAUAAAAUUAAUAAAUUAAAAAAAAAACUUUUUUAUGGUCAAAAAAUAAAUUAAAAUUUGUAUAUAAAUAAAUUUAAAUAUUUAAUUGGAGAUAUUAAAUAAAAUGCACAUUAAUUAUUUUAAAUUAAGGACACAUCAAGGGACUAUAAUCAAUAUAUAAUCUAACACCAGGUUUAUUUUAAAUUUCAAUUUUCUUGAAGGAUUAAAGUUAGAAAACCCUAUAAAUAUAGGAAAUCUUUAAGGGAAGGGAUCCCCAUUUUUAUUUUUCCAUAAAAAUGGGGAUUAGUAACUAUCCGAACCGUCUAUUUUUCAAGUUGCAUCUCAUAGAUCAUCCUUACAAAAUAUUAGCCAAAUCGGAAAUGUUAAAGAGGGGAAGGGCGGAGAAUUCGAAAGUUUUACAAUAAUUUAAAGUCUGGAUGAACAUCAUUAAGAUUAAGAAUCUUCCAUGAAUGCAUGGGUAAAAACCCAACACCAUAUCCACUAAGAUAUUGGACUAUAUGAAUUACUAAAUCCUUUCCAUCUGCAUGAUUCGAAUACUGGUCUCAAACGCCUAUAGGUCAUAAUAUUGAGGGGUUUCCUACUCAAAGUAAAAUAAUGACUAGUAUUCCCGUUGAGGGAUAAGAAGAGUGGAAUUAUUUUCUAAAAGCAUAAACUGAAUUGACAAAUGUCUUCAAAUCUAAGUAAAUUAUAAAGACGGUAAUCAACUUUGUAAAAACCACAUAGCCACUACAUAAGGUCAUCAUAAACUCAACUAUAUCACUAGAUGAAGAGUUUGUAUAUGAUCUUGUAUUAGCAAUACCUUAGCUAUUAUAACUUGUGAGUUGUGACCCACCGAAAAAUAAGGGCUUGUUUGGUAUCCUAUUUGAAUUUUUUUUUAUCAUUUCUCGAAACAUUUCUUGAAAACAAUUUUCUUUAAGACUCAAAAACUUGAUUGGUUUGUGAUUUAAAAAUUUUAAAUAUUACAACUUAAACUAGACAAAGAGAUCUAAAAAGAGGGGAUCACAGGAGGUGGAGAAAGAUGAGAGAAGAUGAAAGAAAGUAAGAGAUGAAUGAAGGAAAGAGAAAGAAGAGGGAGGAUCGGACAAGAUAGAGAGUAAGAGAGUGAAAGAAAAAACCGAGAGAAUGAAGAGAGCGAAAAUUGGAAGAGAGACGAAAAUGGUAAAAAAAAAUAAAAUAAAAAUAAAAAAGAGGAGAGAGAAAGAAGAAAAGAGAGAGAUAGAUUUGGAGUAAGACUCAGAGGGGAGAAGGGAGAGAAAAGAAAUGAGUGAGUUUUUUAAAAAUUCUAAAACUCACUUUUUAUAUUUUUAGAGAACAAACUAUAUUUUUUAGUUAGUCUUGAGUUCAGUUUUUAAAAAUAGUCCUACCAAACAAGUUUUUAAGGCCUAAAACUUGAAAAUGUUUUUGAGUUUAAAAAGUUAGAUUCAAGUAGAGUACCAAACAUGCCCUAAAAGAUUUGAACUAGAGAUUAUGGAUUAUUAGAGCACAGGGCAAACUUUGAGAAUCAAUUUAGAGAUUGUACUAAAUUACUAAAUGAUAAACCUUGCAUUCAGAGAUGAAUUUGUCUUAAAACUUAAAAGAGUAGUACUAAGUGAUGCU
rnacentral:lncRNA from 1 species